UACCACUUGAUGUCCCACAUCAUUUGCAUGGCCGCACCAGAUAUCCUCCAAGCAGUGUUUUCGUUGUUUGCUACUGUAAAUGCUGCUAAGUGUAAAAUGGUGUUUUCAUUGAUAUCAACUUGUUGAUUUAUGCUCUGAAAGGUUUCCAUAGAAAGCCUCUUCCACAACCCUUCAACAACUUGUGGCUGUCUAUAUUUCACUGCUAUAAGUAAUGCAUUUUCGUUGUCAGAGUUAGUUUCAUGGAUCACACUUUUUAGAUUAGAUUCAAGUGCAAGCAUGAUUUCGGUUAUGCCAUGUUUUGCUGCACGCAAAUAUGCUGUAUCAUUUGUGUCACUUUUCUUUGCUUCUAAUUCCUUCAUUGCUACAAGUAAUAAGCCUUUCUUGUCAGAUGCCUUUACUUUUGAAUUAAGCUCAUCCAUAAUUUCAGUGACACCACUUCUUGCUACUGCCAAAUAUAUCGUAUCUUUUUCAACAUUUUUUGCUGAAUCUUCCAAUUUUUGAUUUUCUUCUCUCUCUUGUUUUGAUUUACUUUCUGAAUCCUCUGCAAUACACAACUAUGAUUGUUAUACUCCCUCUGUUCUAUAAUAAAUUAUUUGUUUGAAAAUGUGUAUUAUUGACCUAACAUACUUUGACUAUAUUUUAUACUAAUAUAUAAAGAUAAAUAAUAUCAUAUAAGAUGCCGUUGGAUUCGUCUUGAUUAAUAUAUUUAAAAUAUCAAAUUUUCAUAAUUAUUUUUUAUAUAUUUGUAAAGUUAUGCAAAAUUAUGGGAUGGAGGGAGUACUACUUUUUUUUAGCGAAACAAAUUAUAUUACUUCACACAAAUUAAAGAUAAAUUAUAAAUAGAGAAAGAUAUAUAUAUCUUUUUUGAUAAUAACUUUUUUUUUUAUUCUUAACUAGUGCGUCCGGGACACCGGUUAGCAUUGAAAAAAAAUUAGCAAAUUAAAUAUACUAAUCGGUCAUGUGAAAUUGCUAAUUAACAAGUGUCAUAGUUCCUCUAAAAAUAGAAGUUUUUUUAUAUUGGAAAUAAGAACUUUUAAACUUUAAUAAAGUUGAAUACAAUUGAAGAGAAUAUUACUACGUUUAUUUAUUUAAUGUGUGUAUUUUAGAAUCGUUAGUAAAAUUAAUUUACUCUUUCCGUUUAUUUUUUUUUAAGGAUAUUCUUUCUAGGGAUGACAAAAAGGGUCAAUUCGCUCAACCUAUUCCCGUCCCAUGAAUAAUCCAUCUAAAUACGGCGCAGAGUAGGGUGGGUCAACUGGAGAUAUAGGUUAGAAAAUCUUACUCCUUCCCGUUUUAUGGCGGGCCAUCAAAUUGGCAGGUUGACCCGUCAGUGUUUCUAAAAAAAUAUAUAUUUUAAUUAAAAACUUCACAUUAAUAUGUAAAAAUAUAUAAAUUUAAAGAAAAUUUAAAGAAGUAUAAAUAUAUAACUAAUGAAUCCACUAAAAAUAUGAAAUAAUCAUUCAAACAUAUAAUUACAACAUCUAAAAAUAUAGAGUAAAUCAAUAAAAAAAAUCAAAAUAAAAAGUUCAUGAGUUAUUAAUUGACUAAGUGUUAAAAAUAUGAGGUUAAAAUCAUGAACCAAAAGUGAUAAAAUUAAUUAAAUUAUUCCCCCUACUAUACAGAGGAGAAAAUUAGAAAAUUGAUUGUGACUUAUAAAUAAAAAAACGUGUAAAAGUGAGUUUGUAUUUAAUAUAUCAAUCCAACAGGUCAAUCCGCCUUGCCUCGUGACUGCCCUAGGUUUUAGCGGGUUAUGCGGAGCGGGUACCCUACCAGCGAUGGGUCCAAAAUUUCAACCCACCCCACUAAAAAAAUAUAAGUAAAUACGUCCAACCAAUUUUUUCAUUUGAGAUAAUAAUUAAUAAUAUAUAGUUGUUUGACUAUCUAUACUAUUUACGCAAUCUAUUUUGACCAUAUUAUUUUACUAAUAUAUAAGGACAAUUAUUAGUACAUCUUUUUUUAAAGAUGAAGGAUACAGUUAUUAGUACAUAAAAUGUUUGAUUUGUCUUAAUGAAUAUUUUCAAGAUAUUAAUAUUUUUAGUAAUAGAUAAUUAAAGAUAUUAAUGAUCAUAGUUAUGUAUUGAUAUGUGUGAAGUGGUAACAUGCAAUUAAGAACCGACAUAGUUAUUAAGUCAUUUUUUGAUCGAAAAUAGAUUUUUUGUUCUUACUAUCUUUCUGUUGAUCAAGCCAGAAAUUUUCAACACUAUCAUUUUUCUCUUUUAUUUCUUCAUCAUGUGCUCCGUAAUCAAAGGGAUUUACCCCACCACACAUGUAUGAUUCAUAAGGAUCUUUCAUAAAUGCUUCCAAGAGCUGGCUACCGCAUAUGUGGUUCUUCUUAACCCUCUUUAUUGCCCCUAAGUUUGCAAAAGUAAUUAAAUUUAGCAAAAUUAAUUAAGUGCGUGCACAAAGAAAAAUAACAAUGGUAAAAAAAUAAUGUCAUCCCAUGAGCAUAACUCAAUUGACAAGAACAUUGCAGUAUAUAGGAGCUGAGGUUUGAACUUGAAAUUUCUCACUUAUUGACUUUAAAUGCUAAAUUUUAAACCAAUUGAUUGCACGACGACGACAACAACAACAAGUAGAAUAAUGUUGUAUCAUUAAUUAGCUUAUUUUGCACCAUUAAAUUAAUAGAUCACAUCAUAUAUAUCACUUAAUCUAUUGAGAAUUAUUGAUUGAAUUGUAUAUGAUGAUCUCCAUUGAGUAACACAAUGGUAGGCCACAAAUUAAAUCAUGUAAAAUUAAAGGUUGAGUUGUUCAAUAUACAUACCCAACAAUGACUGAGUAGACCAUCUUUUUCUUGGUGAUGAAAACAGGAUAUGCCAUAUGGUGAAUACAGACAUUUGAACCCAGGAACAUAAAAUUUUAGCAGUAAAAUCUAGUCGAGCAAGAGUAUGUUGUACUUUGCCUGCUUUUUCUAAUUCAUCAACAUUGUAUAAUGGUAUUCUUUGAUCACCUUUCUCUGCAGUAUAUAUUAAUAGGUUAGUAAUAUAGUCAACCACAUCAAAAUAUCAUCACUAAAAUUAUCAUAUGCGAAAUUGUUUAAAAAUAAGGAGACAAAUAAAUAUUAAUUAAAAUGAUGAUGAUGAUUAUAAUAAUAAUAAUAAUAAUAAUAAUAAUAAUAAUAAUAAUUAUUAUUAUUAUUAUUAUUAUUAUUAUUAUUAUUAUUAUUAUUAUUGAUAGGUCUUUAAUAAUUUACAACUUAAUCCAUAUUCAGGUUAUGAGAUUAGUCAACUCUUACCACUAAAUUGACUCCUUAUAGAUAUUAAUAAUCAAUAUUUCAAAAAAUAUAUUUACUAAUAAUAUUCGAUUUUUACUUACUUUAUAAGAAAAUUAUUUUCUCACGGAUAUCAAAACAAAAUAAAAAGAAUUAAGGACAAACUUCGCACAAAUUUCAAACGGAAUAUUGAUUUUAGAGAUAUUUCAAACGAACCAUCUCUUAUAACACACGUGCUGUAAAUUGAAUAAUUUUAUCUCAAAUUUAUCACAAGUUCGUUUGAAAGUUAAAUGUAAAUUUUGACAAAACUCAUUCAUUAGAAUGGAGAAAAAAUGGUAUCAAUAUUGACAACUUACAAAAUCAUAUGCAUUCUCAAAGUCUACCUUCAAACUAAAGCACUUUUCGCUUUGUUUGUUUUGGAGGUAGAGCUUGUGGAGGAGUGUAUAGAUUUAUUAUCCAAUAUCACUAUGCACGAUGAUGCGAAUGAUAUUUGGAUUUGAGAAUUUAAUAUUGAAGAUUUGUUCUCCGUAAAAGAAGAUUAUGCGUUGGUAUCAAAUUUUGAAAUUGAAUCAGAUUCUCCUUUAUUUAGAGUUAAUUGGACUAAUUUGAUUUCAUUGAAGAUUUUGUUGUAUACAUUGAGAUUACUAAAUAAUCGCCUCACAACUCAAAUUAAUUUAAUCCACCGAGGGGUACAAAAUCUAACAUCUCAUAUGUGUGUGGAAUGAUGUAAUUUAAACAAAACAUCCAAAAAUUUGUUUUUUCGUUAUCCUAUUAUGGGCUAACUAUGGUAGGAUGCUCUAUUUGGUUAGGCAUCAGCUUGUAUGUUGAUAGACUAUACCUCUUGUAAUGUUGUCAAAUGUAUAGGUUUGGUAUCUUAUGGUUAACAAUUACAUGAAUGUGGUCAAUUUAGAAGCAGCGUAACCAUGUGGUUUUCGAUUAUAAGGAACAUUUAUCAUGUUUACCCUUUGACAUGGUUGCACUAUUGGUAUUGUCAUGGAUUAAGUGUAAAGUUGAUGGCUUUUCUUAUGAUUAUAUUUAUGUAGCAUUAAACCACUCAAAUGUUUAUGAGUAAUUCUUUUUGUUACUUUAUUACAACAUUCGUUUCUAAUUAUAGGGCCCUCUUGAAAAAAUAACAAAAAUUAAGAAAAUUAAAAGUGUUAAUAAAUUUGUUUGUAAUUGUUAUUGUUUUUACAAUUUUAUCCUUUAAGAGAUAUGAUUAGGGUACUAGGAAAUAUCAAAGGGAUUCUAUAAAGAGACAAUUUCUUUCUUAAAAGGGUUUUAUAUAUGGGGACAGAUGUAGUAUCAAUUUUCAUUUUGGAUUAAUGCUAUUCUUACCUUGGUGCCUUUUCUGUAAUAUUUGAUUACCGUAUCUUUUUAAUCUUAAUUUUUCUUUGACUAUUGUAUCUUUUUCAAUCGUUGACCUUUUAGAAAAAACCAAUUUAUUUACGAAAAAAAUACGAGAACUAUUAAUAUAGUUCACAAAUUACUAAACAUUACAUAAUGACCAUGGCUAGAGGUAUCAUAAUAGUCAAUUCAUUGAAAACAUACCUUGGUCUGCAACGUCUUCAACAUCAUCGUAUAAUUUAAUUCUAGUUCUUGGAUCUGUGACUUUGACAGAAACACCUUUGACAACAAAAUUUUAUAAAAAACAUUUAGACCUCCUUUAUUUUGAUGACUUUUGGCAUAAAAGUAAAACAAUGCAAGUAAAUUUCCUUUAGACUUCCAAAAUACAUGAAUUUAAAGAUUUAUCUUUUAAUUAUUCCUCUUUAUUAACUUUUCUUUUGAACAACAAACAACUCAUAUUAUGUAGUAGUAACAAUUCAACAAACAAAAUACAUGUGGCUUUUCUAAAAGUAAACUGUAUGAGGCUAUUACAAAGUAAGUGGAGUGAAACACGACAGUUCUAAUACUUUACACCAUCUUUAUUCUUUAAUCCUAGAUCUGAAUUAUAAGCACUUGUAUUACAUGUAUUUCCUGAGUCUUGUUAUUUUGGAUAGGAAUUUGGUAUUGAAAUAGUUGUGGUUAUUAGCAUACUUAUUUAUUAAUUUGCUACUUUAUCCGUUCUUGUGAUUGGACUAGUUAUUAAUACAUGUAGCUAGGUUGUGGCAAUACAAGAAGGUUUAUGGAAAUUAAAAUGAGAAAAAAUAUUAACCUAUAUAUAAAUAUAAAUAUAUAAUAAUAACAAUAACAACGAUAACAAUAACAACGAUGAUGAUAAUAAUAAUAAUAAUAAUAAUAAUAAUAAUAAUAAUAAUAAUAAUAAUAAUAAUAAACCACCGUUUUAGUUUUACUAGUCAGAUAAUAUAUAAUUAUUUAAGAGAAUAAAGGUACUUCAAUUGAUCUUUUACAAAAUAACAUAGUUAGAAGAAAUUAAAAAGUCUUUUUUUUUUACUCAAACAAAUUAAAAAGUCUAAGCAAAAAUACAUCAUGUAAAACCAUAUGUGAAGCUCAUACAUACCUAAAUAGAGGAAACAAGAAAUCAACACAUUACUAUUAAUGAAGUCAGAGUCAUUCUAACUUGUGUCAUUUGAACAGAAGUUAACUAGGUAAAAUGAAAAUUAAAAAAAAAGAUAUGUAUUAAGAAUAGAAUUUUUUAGACUUUCGAGAUAUUGAAUAUACAAUUUUUAUAUUUAGUUUUCAACCUUAUAUCUUAAUGUCACAUGUUAACAUUUUCAAUAAAAGAAAGGUCAAAUGCAUCUAAAGGUCCUUUAAAUUUUUUGUUUUUUUCAAAGUGGUCCUUUAAGUUUCAAAAGUCUCAAACAAGUUCUUUUAGUUUUUGAAUCGUUUCAAACAAGUCCUAUUAUAGAUAGCAUACUUGGUAAUUGCUUCCUUGAACUCAUCUUUGGUACCAAAUCUGGCUCCUAACACCCACUUAAAAUUAGUCAUCUUUUUAGGCAUGGAAAAUGGUGGAUAAUGCUCUUUGUUGCUAUCAUUUGAAUCAUCACCACCAUCCUCUAAAAGGACUUGUUUGAAACGAUUCAAAAACUAAAAGGACUUGUUUGGGACUUUUGAAACUCAAAGGACUUGUCUGGAACUUUUGAAACUUAAAGGACCACUUUCGGAAAAACGAAAAAACUUAAAGGACCUUUAGAUGCAUUUAGGCAUGGCAAUGGGGCUGGGUGGGGAUGAGUUUUACCUUCCCCGUCCCCAUACCAGAUUCUAAUAUACGUACCAGUUACCCUACCCAUACCCAACGGGAAAUUCAAUCCCAUCCCCGUCCCCGACGGGUUCGGGUAUCCCCACCCCAUCCCCAUCCCGUAUCGAAUAAUUUUUUUUAAUAAAAAAUAGAAGUUUUUUUGCAUCCCCAAGAGCAACGUUGUAAUACAUUAUCCAACAAUAUGCCCACUUUAACAUUUGUUAGAUGGAAUGAUUUAGUUGAUCCUUUAAAUAUCAAUGGUAGUUUUUAUUAACAUGACAAUUAUCAAGCAAAAUAACAUGACAUAUCAACAUAAAAUAAUUUUUUACAUUUGGGACGGGUAUGAGUAGGGUUCGGGGUGGGUACCUAUAUACCCAUUACCCGUGUUUUGAAAUCGGGGAAAACCCAUACCCAUAUCCAAACCCAGUCAAAACGGAGAAAAUCCGUCAAAUUGGAUUUGGUUCCAGCAGGUAACCGCUGGUAUGGAUUUUGUUGCCAUGCCUAGAUGCAUUUGACCUAGCUAAAAGAAACAUCAUCAACCUUUAACCUUUGCUUAGAAUCAUUUUUAAGAUAACGGUAUAAUGUAAUACCAUAAAGAAUAACUUUGGCACCAACCUUAAAAAGAUAACGCACAUUCCAUGAUUCAUAGAUGAACCAAAAAAUCCAUGAGAACAAAUUUCUCGAUGAUUCUUAGAUUAACCAAAAAUUACAUUCCUCCCUUGACCCACGAAUAAUAUAAGUAAUAAAAGUCAGGGAGUCAAAUACUAAGGCUCCACUCUAUACAUUUAAGGAAUCACUUAAAUAAUAAGUCUUCAAUUGAAAUUUAUGCCUCCCCGUACUAUAAAUAACCUUUCAUCAAACAACUCAUUACCAUACUAGUGACAUUUUGUGUAAGGGGGGGAUAAAAUCUAGAAAAUACCCACCUAUAAAAUACCGGAAUCAUAUCCAAAUUUUUUUUUAACAUAAAGUCGUAUCUAAUUUAAUGUGAAAAUCUUAACACACAUCUAAGAUUAGACAUCUAUAGUGUGACUUUAGUGGUUCAAUAGUGAAAUUGGAUGGAAGUGAUUCAACAAAUCUUGAAUAGACUCUAAUAAAUCUUAGAAUUUGAGUUAGGGGGUUAACCUUUUCUUAAAAAAAAAAAUACUCAAAUAAGCUUUUAAUGUGAGAACUAUAUCCACUUACAAACCUACGUUCAACUCUCAUCUCGUCUAAUAUGGAAUUCUUAGCACUUAUAAAUAUAAUUUUUAACUUAACUAACAUAUCUAAUUUGUGAUGUCCUUAACCACCUUCGUUCCACAUCCAACAUCAACUAAUAGGUAGACACAUUUCUCAAUUUGCACAAAAGAAACAAGAAAAUGCUUGGAUGGUCACAAAAUUUUGGGCAUACACAUCAAAUACAUAUAUCAUUUAAUUAGUUGAAAAAUACACAUUAUUUAAUUCUUUUUUCUUUCUAUAUUUUUUCAAUGGUAUGUUUUUCCAAAAGACCUUGAUUCUUAAAAGUCAAUAACACUAUUUUGAUUAAGAAAAUCAUUGGUUAUACAGAUAAAUGAAUUUCUCACAUACAACCCUACAAAAUUAUUUUAACAAAAUCAACUCUGAUCAACAUUGACAUGAACUUAAACCACAUUAAAACGACCUUCAUAACCAACAAAUUCUCAGCCCUAACUACUACAAUAAGCAAGGUGCAACCGAUAUAAUGUAUUUCCAUUAAAAAAACACAAAAAUCAGUGAGAGAAAUUUAGUGAGGCAAAACAUGAAAUCCUUCUCUAAUUCCAUCACUAAAUUUUGUGACCAAAGAAUUUAUGAGAAAUUUUAUUUUUUUAUAUAUGUCGCUAAUUUCCCUCUCUAAUUUUACUUUUUCUAGUAGUGUUGAGAGACACUAGAUACAAACUUGUGUCACCAAAUCCCCUUAAUCUUAGUUAGCUAUAACAUCUCGAAUUAAUCCAUCACUUUUUGAUAUCCACAAUGGAAAGAACCAAGUAAGGUGAUUUCAUCCAUGCUUAUUCUAAUCUUCACACCAAAAAUUAAAAUUUAAGAACCGCAAAUCCCAAUCUACUUCGUAUCUAAUGAAAAAAUAUAAUUUUAAUUGUCUCUCAACUAUAUUUGUUAUUUUUUUUUUGAAAGAUCUCAACUAUAUUGGUUUUUAUACCAUAUAUAUGCAUAAAAAAUACUAUAUAUAUGUGUUUGUGUCACUUACAGCAGUUGUAAAGAAUUUUCCUCCACCAUGAUAGCUGAUUUUUACUACUCUCAAAAGCUGAUGUCCUAGUAGCAAGAAUUUCAAAAGGAGAGACUCCAUCUUUGUCCUUCGUAGAGCGAAAAAUUGGGUACAAAUACAUUAUUAUAUUUGCCAUACCUGUUGCAAAUGAAACGUUGAUUAUUAACGAGAUUAUUAUAUUGGUAAAUAUUUUUUAUCAAGUUUAGAUUAAAUUUUACCAUAGGAGAAUUCUUAAUUAAAAUAAGUUUAUAAUUUUCACUUUUGAUUAUUUUAAUAUUGACUAAAAAUUAAUAUUAUUAUAUUUUAAACUGCUUUAUGUUUUUGAUUCAGUUCUUUCGAAUAAUAAAAAGAAAAGUAAGAAGAAAAUAAGAGAUGAGAAAGAACUAACCGAACAUUUCUCUAUGAAUUGCAACGUGAAGGAUGUUAUCACGAUCUUUAUUGAUAGCAAUAUUGAGAUCAUUUGUGAAAAACUGAUGUAGAUAAAUAAAGGUCUUUUUAUGGCGUGCAAGCACAGCACAAAAAAGUGGUGUUUCUCCCUUUGCAUUGUUUACUUGAAUCAAAUGCUUCCUUUCACCAUUUUUUCCAAUGAUACAUUCACACAUACUUUUGAAUCCUCUAUAUGCUGCAAGAUGAAGAGGAGUAUCACCUCUUUCAGUCUUUAUUUCAAAACCACUUUGAUCAUCAUGCUUUACUAUUGCAUCUACAAGACGUUUUACAAUGUCUUCGUUGGCAUUACUCACUGCUACAUGUAAUGCUGUUCCUCUUCCCUUUAUUCUUCUCCUGUGAAAAAAUACAUGUUCUUCGUAUUUUUUUAUAACUUCUUCCCAUUUGUCUUCCAUUACAAACUCGCGGAACCCGGCAGCUACAUAUUUGUUGUCACAAAAUAAAAUAGUAAGACAUACAAUAAUUAAUGUCACAUUAAAAAAUUGGAGGAAAAAAUGUCAGAAAUAUUGAACUUUCAACUUAAAGAGCCUGAUAAAUAUAAGGAGAGUUUGGACGUACCCUCUUGAUAAUCAUAAUCGUCUUCAUCUUGAGGCUGAAUCAUAGAAUUAGGAUUCAUUUCGGAAUCAUCUUGAGGCUGAAUCAUAGAAUUAGGAUUCAUUUCGGAAGGUUGAAACUUAAAAAUGAAAAUAAGAAGAAUAAGGAUCAAUGAGAGAUGGGUAGUGGUGCUGUAAGGAACUGAGCAUAUCAAGUGCAAACCUAAUUCCUUUAUAUAAAGAAUGAGAAGCUAUGAAUCCGAUACUUCCUGUAAAGAAAAUGGAUACCCUGAUCCAAUUAUGAGUAUUUUAUAUAUAUUUUUUGUUGGAACACUAGUGUAUAAUGAAAAAAACUUGGAGUAUACUAGUGAGUUUGUGGAGCCUUUGGCAUGUAAACAUCAGGAUGGAGAAACUAGUGUAAAGUGUGAAUUGAAAAUUUUAUGUCCCACAUCGGGUAGAUCACACACUCUAGUAGAAAUCCUCCUUAUAAAUUGAGAGCUCGGGAAUAGUAUUCUUCACUCCAAAACUGAGAAUCGAAUACUCUUCUCUGGUUUUCUCCCCUUCUCAUCUCCCGCGAUUUGUGUUGACGAAUCGUUCUUUUCCUCCUCCUCUUUCUGUGGGCUUCGGAAAAUUGUGGGCUUCGGAAGAGUGGUCUAAGAACCAUAUUGUGGGAUUCGGAAGAGUGGUCUAAGAACCAUAUUGUGGGUUUCGGAAGAGUGGUCUAAGUACCAUAUCGAGGUGUCAUUCUCGAGCGAUUUCUGGCAGUGCAGCCUUUAAUCGUACAGUAAGAAUCUGGGCUGUUUUAUCCUGGAGACGGCGCGGUUGCUAGUCUACCUUGCACAAUUCAGGUAGUGCCGCGAAACGUCUUAAAGAGAGCGACCUGGUCGUGACUCAUCCCGGUAAUAGUUUCAAAAGCUCCAUCGUAUAUUUUCAAAUUAGAAAAAACAACAUUUUUAAGACGUUUCGAAUACGAUACGAUGAGUUCUGAAAAGAUUACCGCGGUUUCAGCUGAUGACUUUAACAAACCGUUUCUGUUUACGGGUAGCCACUUCAAACGUUGGCAGCAAAAGAUGUUGUUCUUCUUGACCACUAAAAAGGUUGCCUACGUUUUGAAGGAAGCUAUGCCUGUAGCACCUACGAGUUCGACUCCUGCUGGAGCGAAUAAUAACGGUAAGGCAGCAGACCCUACUGCUGCUGAGAAAGCUGACCCAGAUAAACAGCUAGCCAUAGAUAUAGCUCUAUGGAAGGAAAAUGACUACCUCUGUAAGAAUUAUAUUCUUAAUAGACUCACAGACCCUCUAUAUGAUUAUUAUAGACUUUGUGAUACUGCUAAACAACUAUGGGAAGCACUUCAGAAGAAGUAUGAUACUGAAGAGGCUGGUGUUAAGAAAUACGCCGUAAGCCGCUAUCUGAAUUUCAAAAUGAGUGAUGAUAAGUCCGUUGAGGCACAAUCACAUGAGCUGCAACAAAUUGCUCACGAGAUCAUAGCUGAAGGGAUGGCACUUCCCGAACAAUUUCAAAUAGCUGUGAUUAUUGAUAAGCUACCUCCUGCCUGGAAGGACUUCAAGAGUCUUCUUAGACAUAAAACUAAGGAGUUCUCUCUUGAAAGUCUGAUCACUCGCCUUCGUAUUGAAGAAGAAGCGAGAAAGCAGGACCAGAAUGAAGAGGUGUUUGUUGUUUCUAACAACAACACUAAAAAGAAAUUUGUAGGUGCUGUUCUGAAGCCUGCUGGCAAACCAUUUAAGAAUCAGAACCGCCCUAUGAAUAAGAAUUCCAACAGGAAUAAGACUGGGAACAAUUCAAGACCCCAGAUUCAACAGCCACCAAAGAAUGAUGCUGCUCCACCUUUCAACUGUUACAAUUGUGGGCAAGCAGGUCAUAUGGCACGCAAGUGCAGAAACAGAACCAACCGACCAGCACAGGCUCACAUGGCUACUGAUGCUGCACCUGAUGAGCCCUAUGUGGCUAUGAUUACUGAGAUCAAUAUGAUUGCAGGUUCUGAUGGCUGGUGGGUGGACACUGGUGCUUCUCGCCAUGUCUGCUAUGAUAGAGAUAUGUUCAAAACAUAUACUGCUUGUGAUGAUCAGAAGGUGUUGUUGGGAGACUCCCACUCCACUGAUGUUGUUGGAAUCGGAGAUAUAGAGCUGAAAUUCACCUCUGGAAAGACUCUGAUACUGAAGGAUGUGUUGCACACUCCUAAGAUUAGGAAGAAUUUAGUUUCAGGUUUUCUUUUGAAUAAGGCUGGGUUUACUCAAAGCAUAGGGGCUGAUUUGUACACCAUCACUAAGAAUGGUAUUUUUGUUGGGAAAGGGUACGCCACUGAUGGCAUGUUUAAGUUGAACAUUGAUAUGAAUAAAAUUUCUUCUUCUGCUUAUAUGUUGUGUGAUUUUAAUAUUUGGCAUUCUAGACUCUGUCACGUUAACAAAAGAAUUAUUUCAAAUAUGAGCGGUUUAGGAUUAAUUCCUAAAAUAUCUUUAAACGAUUUUGAAAAAUGUCAAUUUUGUAGUCAAGCAAAAAUAAAUAAAGAAUCACAUAAAUCAGUAACCAGGAUAACUGAACCUUUUGAAUUAAUUCAUUCUGAUUUAUGCGAAUUAGAUGGAAACUUGACUAGAAAUGGAAAAAGAUAUUUCAUCACUUUUAUAGAUGACUGCUCGGAUUACACACAUGUGUAUUUAAUGAGAAAUAAAAAUGAAGCGCUUGAUAUAUUUAAACAGUAUUUUAAAGAAAUUGAAAAUCAAUUCAAUAUUAGAAUCAAGCGUUUUAGAAGUGACAGAGGUACUGAAUAUGGAUCACAUAUAUUCAAUGAGUAUUAUAAAGAACUCGGAAUUAUUCAUGAAACAACUGCUCCUUAUUCUCCUGAAAUGAACGGUAAAGCGGAAAGAAAAAAUAGAACGUUUACCGAAUUAGUAGUUGCAACAAUGCUUAAUUCCGGAGCAGCGCCUCAUUGGUGGGGAGAAAUUUUAUUGACUGUUUGCUAUGUGCUAAACAGAGUACCCAAAACAAAGAACAAAAUUUCUCCAUAUGAAAUUUUGAAGAAAAGACAACCAAACUUGUCUUAUUUUAGAACAUGGGGCUGUCUAGCCUAUGUAAGAAAACCAGACCCCAAAAGAGUCAAACUAGCAAGUAGAGCCUAUGAAUGUGCAUUCAUUGGGUAUGCCUUAAAUAGUAAAGCCUAUAGGUUUUACGACCUGAAAUCUAAAACGAUCAUAGAAUCAAAUGAUGUUGACUUCUAUGAAAAUAAAUUUCCCUUUAAGUCAGGAGACAGUGGGGGUAAUAGUGGGGGCACUGAUAACUCAGUUCUUGAUCAACCUUCUGAAAUCAUAACAAGCAAUGAAAACAUCGAAAGAGAUGUUAUAGAACCUCGUAGAGGUAAGAGAGCAAGAAUUGCUAAAGAAUAUGGCCCCGAAUAUGUGGCAUAUACAAUAGAGGAGGAUCCAUCAAGCAUCAAGGAAGCUCUGUCUUCAAUUGACGCUGAUUUAUGGCAAGAAGCUAUAAAUGAUGAAAUGGAUUCUCUAAUGUCCAACGAAACUUGGCACCUAACUGACUUGCCUCCUGGAUGUAAGACUAUAGGUUGUAAGUGGAUUUUGAAAAAGAAACUAAAACCUGAUGGGUCAAUCGACAAAUAUAAGGCACGCCUUGUUGCCAAAGGUUUUAGACAAAGAGAAAAUGUAGAUUUCUUUGACACAUAUUCACCUGUAACUAGAAUCACUUCCAUUAGGGUACUAAUCUCAUUGGCGGCUAUCCACAAUUUGAUAGUACACCAAAUGGAUGUAAAAACUGCUUUUUUAAACGGUGAAUUAGAAGAAGAAAUCUACAUGGACCAACCUGAAGGUUUCGUAAUCCAUGGACAAGAGAACAAAGUUUGUAAGUUAGACAAAUCUUUGUAUGGUCUAAAACAAGCACCGAAACAAUGGCAUGAGAAAUUCGACAAUCUUAUGAUUGAGAAUGAGUUUAAGGUGAAUGAAAGCGACAAGUGUAUUUAUUCCAAGUACGAAAAUAACACUUGCACGAUCAUAUGUCUAUACGUAGACGACUUACUCAUAUUUGGUUCAAACCUCAAUGCCAUUAAAGAUGUGAAAUCAUUGUUGUGCCACAACUUUGAUAUGAAAGACCUAGGAAAGGCAGAUGUAAUUCUUGGAAUCAAGAUUACUAGAACUGAUAAUGGAAUUUCCUUGAAUCAAUCUCACUACGUUGAGAAGAUCUUAAGGAAAUAUAAUUACUUCGAUUGUAAACCUGCGAGCACACCUUGUGACCCAAGUGUGAAGCUAUUUAAGAACACUGGAGAUAGUGUUAGACAAACUGAAUAUGCAAGCAUCAUUGGCAGUCUCAGAUAUGCCACUGAUUGUACUAGACCCGACAUCGGCUACGCCGUGGGACUAUUAUGCAAGUUUACGAGCAGGCCAAGCAUGGAGCAUUGGCAAGCUAUCGAAAGAGUCAUGAGAUACUUGAAGAAGACCAUGACUCUAGGACUGCAUUAUCAGAGAUAUCCUGCAGUGCUUGAAGGAUACAGUGACGCAGAUUGGAACACCUUAUCAGAUGAUUCCAAAGCGACCAGUGGCUAUAUAUUUAGCAUUGCUGGAGGAGCUGUUUCCUGGAAAUCCAAGAAACAGACCAUUCUGGCUCAGUCCACAAUGGAAUCUGAGAUGAUAGCACUAGCUGCUGCUAGUGAAGAAGCAAGUUGGCUAAGAUGCUUGCUAUCUGAAAUCCCUUUGUGGGAGAGACCGUUACCAGCUGUGUUAAUUCAUUGUGAUAGUACCGCGGCUAUCGCAAAGAUUGAGAAUCGUUAUUACAAUGGUAAGAGACGACAGAUAAGACGAAAACACAGCACGAUAAGAGAAUAUCUUUCGAACGGAACGGUAAGAGUAGAUUUCGUACGAACAAAUGAAAACUUAGCUGAUCCUUUGACGAAAGGACUAAACAGAGAGAAAGUCGCAAAUACAUCCAGUAGGAUGGGACUAAUGCCUAUUGAUCAUAAGUGAUGGAAACCCGACCUAAAUGACUGGAGAUCCCAAGAACUAGGUUCAAUGGGUAAUAACAAAUCACAAGUGACCGAAGGUUGAGAUAAUAGAAACUCUUAAUGAGAUCUAUACUCCUUAUGGAGUGAAGUACAUAGCUACAGGAGUACUUCUGAUAGACUCACCUAUACGUAUGUAGAACUGAGGCCGGUUCUUAUGGAAUUUCGAGGCAGAAUUCCUAGAGCAUUCGUUAAAACUGGGAUAGACGUGCAAGGCCAUUAACGCACGGGCUUUUUAGAAAACACCUAAGAAAAGGUUGUGUGUGGGUCCUAUGUCUGAGAUAGAGUUCAAUGCUGUAAGCAACUCUUGUUAAUCAGAAUACUACUCACUAUGCAAAGGUUCAAGUUGUUGGCGACACCUUUGUUUACUAGCAAUCUUUAAGAAACGUUUAAAACGUAACUUUCGAAACCAAUUUUGAAUUCAAGUGGGGGAUUGUUGGAACACUAGUGUAUAAUGAAAAAAACUUGGAGUAUACUAGUGAGUUUGUGGAGCCUUUGGCAUGUAAACAUCAGGAUGGAGAAACUAGUGUAAAGUGUGAAUUGAAAAUUUUAUGUCCCACAUCGGGUAGAUCACACACUCUAGUAGAAAUCCUCCUUAUAAAUUGAGAGCUCGGGAAUAGUAUUCUUCACUCCAAAACUGAGAAUCGAAUACUCUUCUCUGGUUUUCUCCCCUUCUCAUCUCCCGCGAUUUGUGUUGACGAAUCGUUCUUUUCCUCCUCCUCUUUCUGUGGGCUUCGGAAAAUUGUGGGCUUCGGAAGAGUGGUCUAAGAACCAUAUUGUGGGAUUCGGAAGAGUGGUCUAAGAACCAUAUUGUGGGUUUCGGAAGAGUGGUCUAAGUACCAUAUCGAGGUGUCAUUCUCGAGCGAUUUCUGGCAGUGCAGCCUUUAAUCGUACAGUAAGAAUCUGGGCUGUUUUAUCCUGGAGACGGCGCGGUUGCUAGUCUACCUUGCACAAUUCAGGUAGUGCCGCGAAACGUCUUAAAGAGAGCGACCUGGUCGUGACUCAUCCCGGUAAUAGUUUCAAAAGCUCCAUCGUAUAUUUUCAAAUUAGAAAAAACAACAUUUUUAAAUAACAUUAGGAGUAUUAUUUUUUAGGGUUAAUGGUGCUUUAACCCUCUAAUAUAAGUCAUUUCCAGGUUUAUCCGCUAUAAAAUAUUUUUUUUUAGAUUUUAACAUAAAAGAUAAGAAAAAUAUAAUUCAAACUUCUCUCAAAAAUGAAGAGUCAAAUGUUUUUAAUAUGUUUUGAAUAACAGAAUAUGCGAGUGUAUAUUUUAACAUAAAAAGAAAGAAAAAAAAAUAUAAUUUAGGCAUCUUUCAAAAGAAGGAGUGCAAUUUACUCAUAAUUUAUUUUAGUUAUUAGACAACUUUUAUGAUGUACUGUAUAAAAAAAAAAACAUGUACAAGAUUUAGUAGACAAUGGACACAACAAACAAAAUAUAAUUUUAUUCAUUAUAAUUUAGAGCAGUGAUGUUUGAACAACCAUUUAAGAUAACUUUAUUUUUUUUUUAUUUUCGUUGAUCAAAAACAAUUAAAAGAGAAUAAAAACAUAAUAUGAAUAUGAGAGAGAAAGUUGUCAAAAUAUUAUCAUAAAAUAAUUAUACAAAUAUCAUUUCUCUAAAAUUUAUAGUGCGUGUGAUAAUGAAAACAUGUGUUUCUUGUGUGUUGCAAUUGAUCACGUCUUAGGUAAGCAUAUUUUAAUCUUAAUAUGUAAUGAAUAUCAGAUAUAGUGCGUGUAAUAGUGAAAACAUGUGUUUCUUGUGUUGCAAUUGAUCACAUCUUCGGUAAACAUAUUUUAAUCUCAACAAGUAAUGAAUAUUUUCCAAAAUAAAGAAAAGGGUCACGAUCGUGUCUUGCUUUAUUUUUAUUCCUUUCUUCACUCUCGUGAUUUUAUCGUUGCAGCUUUAAACUGAGUGAAACAACACAUAUAUGACAAAAGCAAAGUGCAAAAUGUUCAGUGCUGAGUGAAACUUAAGCUUAAGCAAAAGCUAUAUUCUUUCUCACCUUUUGUCUCUUUAGCAUUAUAAGGCUUCGUAUCUCGUCGUGUUUCUCAUGGCCUUGGGAGCAAUAUUACUAUGUUUGCUUUCAUUUUUAGAUCAGCAAAGGUGAUUUAAAAGACAUGUAAUUUAGACUUUUGUUUUGGUUGUUGAAGAUGCACAUUACUCAUGUGAUGAGGAAACUUUUAUGUGUCAUUUCAUUCAUGAAGAAGAAGAACAAGUGUCAUUACACAUGAGUUUGCCUAUGAUUCCAAUAUUGUUACCUACAAAUUUAUGUACCCCAUGUGCAUGACUAACUUCAAUGCUCAGUAAAGUAUAUGAAUGAGUUUGAACUACCAAUAUUGCGAUUGAAAAUUACUAGCUGUAUCUCUAUUUAUUCGUUCUUUUAGUGAAAAAAAAAAAGCUUAAUACAAGUUAAAACAUAUACUAAUUUUAUUUUUCUAAAUAUAAAUAUCGCUAACUAAUAACUUGUUUUGAUAGAUGAAAAGACAACAUUAAGAGCAUAUGUUUGCUUACUUCAGAAGUUCAAGAGUACGAUAAUUUUUAAAGCUUGUUGUGGAAGAUUUAGAAAUAUUUACUAUUACAAUUGUAUAGCAUAACCAGAAAGAUUUUGACCCAAAUAUAUAGUUCACUCAUUCUACUAUAAUUCUUUCUAUAUGUGUGUUUCAUGUGGAUUGUUAUUUUUGCUCAAAAGUGUGGUCAUUUUUUAUAGACUAUCUGUGUGUUCCAUGUGGAUUGUUAUUUUUGCUCGAAAUUGCGAUCAUUUCCAAACCUUCCUUUAUUAUUAUUGGUAUAUACUUUGUGAAACCACUUUGAGCCUCCAUGCAAAUUUUAUUUAUGUUACUUAUGUGACUUGAAUCAUGUCAGAAGUUUUGAACCCUACAAUGAUACUUCGAUUUGAAUUAUUUUAGAGUCAGAUAUAUUAGUGCAAUACUUAUCAUGGUUUCAAAUUAAGUUUCAGAUUGCUCGUUGAAAUUAGCAACAUCUUAAGUUUGGGUUGAGGUACCAAUAAUACUUGGUUAUCAAAAUGUACUUGCAAAAGUACAAUAAUCGUAAUUAGGGUUUAUAUUGUAUUGGUCAUUCCUUGAGAAGGCUAUCAAGGGCUGUAUUUAUAGCCCUCUAUGAGCCUGGUUUGUGGUUAUUUAGGCUAUAAGUAACGAGGGCAAUUAUGUAUUUAGGCUGCCUUCUAGAGGUUUUAGAAAUAGGUUGAGGCAGCGCCUUAGGGAGGGUGCGUCUUAGGCCUUAGGGCCUUUAUGGAGGGCACUAAGUCCUUUGGGAGGGUCUAAAAGCCCUUUUGGAGGUCUUUUAGAGAUAUAUUGACGGUCCACAUUCCCCCAAGCACGAGUGUUGGGACAAGGCGAAGUGAUUAAUUUGCUUUAAAAAAUUUGUUUAUGCUUUGAUUAUACUUCGUGUAGGCCUUUGGGGUGCUAUCAUCCGAAUUUGGAGAGCCCCCUAGGGUGAUUCCACUUAUUUUCUAAGCCCCCCCAGAGAGUAUACAUUCAAUUUGUCUUAUAGGAUGAUCACUCCCAGCCCCCCAAGCACGAGCUUUGGGAGAAGGCGAAGUGGUUUGUGAUGGCGUGAUGAGUUGAGUCACCUGUGGUGAUUUUCAAGGGCGGGAUUGUUGAAGAAUAUAAGGCGAGUCUUUUGAUUUAUCAAGAGAUCUAACAUUUCAGAUCUCGUGACCUUUCGAUGAUGUUGACGUGAUUUAAUCGUGGAGUUUUCCUCCACGUGUCUCCACUCAUGGACAAAGGUGAGAGUGUUUUUUGAGGUGGUUUAAAUUUGCUUCCUAUAAAAACGUGUUUCCCUUCAUUUCCUCUAUUUCAUUUCCACUUUUUUCGCUUCUGAUUCUUCUGUAUUCGUGCGAAAUUUGCUAGCUGCUUUCUGGAUUUUCAAUCUUGAUCUCUUCAAACUUCUCAAGUACUCUUUCCUUUCGUCUUUUUUUUAGCUUUUUUCAAAAUUUCUUAGCUUGUCAUUUAGGAAUGGUUCUCAUUAAGAAAGGACUACUUAAGGCAUGGAACACGGCCGAAUGGUUUGAUUGAUUGGGACGCGUACGAAUAAGGGCUUUUCGGCCAUAGGGUUUUGAGUGAGUUAUCUAGUGAUAGUGAUACCAGUAGUGAUAGUAACUGUGUGUUUCUCUAUGCUACCUCAGGAGCAGAUCAUAAGGGGGAAGUUUGUCUGGAGAUAUGUCCCUACACGUCUUCGUCGUCUUAUUCUAAAAUAUCCUUGCGAGCUUGAGAUGAAUGAAUUUACUGAAGAGGUUCUCCGGGAGUACUCGUUGUAUCUGGAGGUAGCAGCAGUCAAUUACUUUCGGAGUAAAUUGGACAUCUCUUCCUCAGAGAACGAGGAGGACGUGGUGGUGCUGCCUUGUCAGGUGGGCGAGAGAGUACGCGACCAACGGUUGGCGAACACCGUGGAUGAAUCUUUUCUGAUGUAUAUGGCGGUGCUGGAGGAAUUCGGGGUAACAAUUACUUUCACGGCGUUCGAGAUGGAUGUGUUGAUGCUCUUGAACGUGGAACCGUCUCAAAUACGUCCUAAUAGCUUGGCGUUUAUCCGUGGUUUUGAAAUUCUGUGUAAAGCUUUAAGUUUGGAACCUUCUGCUGCGUCUUCCUUCAUUUCAAUGGGACUAAAGAUGUCAAUAAAGGGAUGUGGAUUUCGAUUAGUGCCCAUCCUGGAAAAAAUACUCUUUCCUCCGUACGCUUCUAAUUUCAAGGAGUGGUGAGACUCAUUUCCUAGGGUAGAGGGGGCGCCUGAGUGUUCCAGUGCUUCAGUGAUGGUGGAAGGGAAACCUAAGUUUCCUUUGUGUUGGACUUAUGCGUUUGUCGUAGUGAUGGGCUAUGACUUUAGUAAGAUGACGCCAUACGAACGGAUAUGGUAUGUUAUUUGGAGAAGUUUCCAGUUAUGGACCUUCAUGAUCUUCUGAACCGAGAGGGUUAUAUCAAGAUCCUUGAGCCUUAUUUGUGUGUGUUUUGAUUUUAUUCUCAUGUUGAGAAGUAUAAGGACGCUACUUAAGAUGUUGAGAAGUGGAAUCACAAAGUGACGGGCAUGAAGGCAAGGUUGAAAGAAGCUUUGAAAGAGAAGAAGACUGCAGAGAAGGCCACCAGUGAUAUAUAGAGUGAGAAAGAGGUUGUGGAGCUGGAGAGGGAUUCUUGGAAGAAAAAGGCUGGUGAACUUGAAGGGGACUAGCUACUACUAAGACCUCCGUUGAAGAUGGCAAAGGGGCGCUUGCCCUAUACUUCGACAAUGGCUUUGAGCGUGCCUUGGUGCAGGUUCUCCAUUUUCACCCUGAUGCUAAAGUGGAUGAGUUGGAUCCUUUCAACGUCUUGAUAGAUGGGUAGUUAGUGGACGAAGAGUGAUGCCGUUGUACCGCCUUGCUUUGUAAUUUAUAUUUUUUGUUGCUUUUGAUAACUUUGGCUUUUUGUUUCUUUUGGGAAAUCUGUAACUUAAAUGUACUUUGGGAAUUCAUUACUCCUCUUUCUUCCCUCAUUAAAUUGGAGGUCAACUUCGUUCUUUUCUGUUAUACUCCUUCUCUUAACUUGGAAAAAAGCAUCGCCUGCUAUCCUACUUUCUACUUCUCUUCAUGCUCCUAUUAAAAAUUUGAACUGAGUCAUGCAUAUUUUAUUCAAACCAAUGGGAGGUACAGAUACCGGAAAUGCAAACCAAUACUUGAGGUACCCAGCAGGGGCUGAAUAUAUUUCCACAAAGCCGAAGAAUUCCAGAAUUUUCAUUGUUUAAAAUAAUGGCACUCCAGGAAUGUUUCGCUAUCUUAUUCGGAACUUAGGUGUGAUAUUCGACCUUUGAAGCUUAAUUCUCCCAUUAUGGGGGACAACAAUAAUGGACGUAUUUUUACUGGCGAUCUAAUCGUAAUCUUCAAGCGUCACAAUUAUAACCGAUUUGGUUUCAAGUAAGAGUAGCUUCGCCUCAUCUUUCUUGGUCUUGAUCUUCCUGUUGUUUACCUGAAUAUCAUCUCGAAGUAGAAUGCUUAUCGGUUAAUCUAAAUAAUAAUAUACUGAUUCCGAGAUUGAUAGCCACACAUACAUGAUAAUUUAAACACUAGAAUUAGGUUAAAAUAUAUUUGAUUUUAUUAGGUUUUAUCAUGACGAAGCUGCUAAUGGUAACAAACAGAUAGCCGGUAAUACAUCCUUGUAUCAAAAAGGUUUGAUCAACAAAAUGUUUUUGACUUUGAACAUACAAUUAUCUUAUAACUUGGUGCCCAUAUAAUUUGGUUUAUAUGAAAUCGAUAGGCUUGUAACUUCUUCCACCGAUAAAAUAAAUAAAUUAUGAUGGCUAGAAAGGUAUUCCACAUGCAUCAAUUAAAAUCUACCCAAAAUGUAUGUGCAUAUAUGAAAGGGGCGUGUGUGUUCAUUUGAAUAAUCAUAAUGAACAUGCAUCAUGAACGGCAACUCGAAGCAAUUCAAUUUUCUCCUUCCAAACAGAUUUCUCCAUCAUUUGAAUAGAGCAUAAUUUUAGAAAGAUAAAUCCUGAUUUAGUUAUAAAUCGUUGCUUCUAAGGAGCUGUUCGUGGAUCUUGAGGCCGGGCGAGGUUUGGUCUUCGCCAGUCAUCAUUUUUUCUCUAGAUUGCCGGAGGUUUUUAGGUUUAUGAGUGUGGCCUAGGUUAGUUUUAUCGAGGUACCCAGAGACGGAUGCCAACUGUACUAGCAGUGAGUACAAUAUUAGAAAGUUUAGUUUUUCAUGAUUCCUUGAGAAUGCUCUCAAGAGGGGGCAUUUAUAGCCCUUCGUUGGCAUGUAAUUCGAUGACUUAAGCCCCAAGCAGCUUGGGCACUAAAUCACUCUAGAGCAUUCUAGAUCUUUCUAAAAGCUUGUUAAGACGGCGCCAUUAGGGGAACGCGAUAGGACUUCAGGAGCCCUUCUGGAGGGCAUUUGUGCCCUUAAGGGUAGAUUGACGGUCUAGGAGAGCAUUAGAGAAUUAGGGUUACAAAAGAAAAAGAGAAAAAGAUAGCAAAGCAAAAGUAAAACUAGGGUUGCAGAGAAAAGAGACAUAAAUGCAUAGUGAGAAGAUUAGAAAGAUUCAAUUGUUGUAAGGGGGGAGUUUUAUUCAAUCUAAGUGUAGUAUAUUCAUGUGGGUAGAGAUGAGUCUUUAACCUCAAGUGUUUUUAUUUAUUCUUAUAAUGAAUCCUUGUUAUAGUGUAUUCUUUUGUGUUCUUAUAACUGUAAAUUUGGUUGUAGUUUAUAAAUUGUGAUGGAUCUUUGUUAAAUUUCGUUCUCUUAUGUUGCUGUAAUUAUAUAUUUGAUCUAUUGAGAUUAGGAACAAUUUUGAUUUCAAAUUUAAUGUACUGUGGGUAGAUAUAUAUAUAUAUAUAUAUAUAUAUAUAUAUAUAUAUAUAUAUAUAUAUAUAUACACGAUAUCGAUGCAUAUUGCUUCAUCGUAGCCUAUUGUAAAUCGGUGAAGAAAUGAAGCCUUUGAAGGUGACGUCAUAAGCUGAAGAAUCUAAAUUAGUUUGUCGUCUUUUGAAGGAAUGUCACUAUCUGACUCUGAGUAGUGCAUUUUGUGUUCUUUUUACCACGUGUAGAAACAAACAAACAAAUUCAAAGACAAAGACAAUGCAACAAAUCAUUCUAUUUGAAGCAAAUGAAUUUUGAAUGACUACACAACGACUCUAACCUUUUGAUGCGCUAACACUCUUCAACAACUGCUCUCAGAAUAUCUUCUAUAGAUGGACCUGAGCAGUUGAAGAAUAAAUAUAAUACUCUGAAUUUUUACAAGUGUUCUAACUAUGUCAAAAUUAAUACCGCACAAAUUCUUAACGAAUUUCUUAUAAUAGAAAUUCGUAAGUGUAAGAGUACAUUUGAACUUUAUUAUAUUACAUCUCUAAUUGUAUAUCAAGUGUAAACUCCAACACACAUUUUGCUUGAUUAAAUUAGAUUGUAGAAGUCUCUUGUGUGAUUGAGCCAUAUAAGUCUCUUUCUCGUGUAAUUGAGCAAAGGAAGUCUCUUGUUUAUGUGUUUGAGCAACUUGUAAUCUAUGAGAUUAUAGUAGAAAUCCCUCUGAAGUGCAAUGGACAGGACUAUUUUUGGUUUGUAGUAGGAACCAAUAUAAUUUCCAUGUGCUCUCUCUCUCUAUCUCUCUCGCUCUCCCCUCUGUGAUAAUCCAUCCACACAUAAUUUAUCUCAUUCUCCCAUAUCUCUCCAUCCAAAUCACUCUUGAGAUACAAAACUCAUAAUUUAGAUACGACAAAAUUCAUAUAAUCCUCAUCACACCUUAUAAUGAUACAAAAAGAGUCAAAUCACACUACAAUCAUACCAGUACCCUAAACAUAAUAAACACAGAACUCCUUAUUCAAGUACAAACCAAACUCAUUAGUUUCAAUCCACAAAGCAAUACAAUAAAAUAAACACCUCUACAACUUAACACCCUUGAUACUUGGUGGUGGCACCUUCUUCAAAAUAACUUUGAGAAGAUCAAUAUAUAACGGAAAAUGCUCAACUGCAUAGAAUGUGAUAGGCAAGCAAAUGGCAAUAUAUAAAUAGAACAAGAUACCACUCUUGGUAUAUUUAUCUGUGAGCACAAAGUAGUGUCCACCAAUGAAACAAAUGAACAUGGCAACAAUGGCUACGAAGAGAGAACUAAACCCAAAAAGAAGUUUCAAUGGCAAGUUUCUAUUGAAGUCUUCGACUUGUUUUCGAGAAGUGAGUAAAGCAAGGAACAUGAUGAGUGCAGUGGCAGAGAAGUAAAGUCCAAUUAACGAAGAUAUAGAGAAUACUUCGAAUGCAGGCUGUCCUUCGAAUGUUGGUUUUCCAGUAUUCUGAUUACCUCCGGGGACGCUGCCUGAUGUAGCAAAGGAGACGCCUGCGACGAGUGCCGCUACAACUGAGCAUGACUGUGAUGUGUCUUUCAACCACUCAAUGCUUUUAUCUAGAAGUUCUUUGUGUUCCUCCUUAAAGAUUUCACCUGGGGUUUUUCUAUCGUUGUUGCUUCUAUGAUGGUAAUGGUCUGGUACUAGUCUUUUAAUGUACUAUACAGUACCAUUCACAUAUAUUAAGACAAAAAAAUGUUAAUAUUUUUAAGAGAAACAUAAAUAGAUAUUCCUAAUAUUUAAAUAAAAUAUAUAUUUUUAAAUGUAUGUUACAAGUACAAUUCAUUUUAUUUUUAAAGAAGUACAAUUCAUUUAAUUUGAUGAAGUUUACAUAUGACAUGAUUUAAAAAUUAAUUGACAGUUUUUAGAUCUUGAAAAUACAGUGUUUUUUUUUAAGAGGAUGAAAAUAGAAUAACUAUAUCAAAGAGUUACUUUGAAUUAAACAUGGAUCAAGUAAUGUAUCGAUAGAAUGACUACGUAUUUUAGGGUUUGAAUGGGAGCUUCUACGAAGAAGUCAGGAAAAUGACUUUUUCGGUGAAAUCGUUUGAAUAGGCCAAUCAGAUUUUAAGUGAUGACACGUCAGAAAUCCUAAUAAUGUUACAGUGUAGUGCGGUCUACAAUACCGUUAGUAAAGAAAAACUUUAUUUCAUGAUCUUAAUGGUUAGAUUUACUUGAUCUUUAUGUUAUUGUGGUACAACAUCUACACAUUAAUUUUCUUCUAGUACCAAUUCUCUCUCCUUUUUAUUUCUCUUUCUUUAUUUAUUUAUAUUCUCUCUUCCAGAUUUUUAUUAAAUCAACAUCUUCAUCUUUCCUUCAUCUUCUUCAUCAUAUCUUCAUCAACUUAUUCAUCAUCUUCAUGAGAGAGAGAAAAAACCCAGAAAUUAAAAAAAAAUGAAAUUACAUAAUAAAAAAAAACAUUACAAUUAAAUACAUUUCCAUAAAAACAAUUCCAAUUUCAAUUCCUCAUUUCCCAAAUUAAUCCCCUAAUUAAGCGUAUUUCUCCAAUUUUAUCUUAACGAAGACCUAAAUAUAAUUUCAUCCCAUGUAUUUUCUGAUUUGUUUUUGCUCUUAUCCACCGUGCUUUUGACUUGUGAAAGAAAAAUCAAUUUCAUAACAAAAAUGAUACUAUUUAGAUCAUUAUAUUGUCCUUUGUAACACCUAUUUGCUAAAAAAAAUUAUUACGUAAGUUUUACAUUUAAUCUUUCAGUUUUUCGUACUAUAAACGAUAUAAACACUUAAUCUUUCAGUUUUCAAAGAUGAGUGAUAUGGUAUGAAAAAGUAUAAUAACCCAUAAAUAUGAGUCACAAGUUGUUCAUUAUAAACUUACAAGAGUCUUUGGAAUUCCUCUCAAAUUAACAAAAAAAAGUCUUUGGAAAUGUAAAACUCUAAAUCAGUAUAUAUAUUAGUUUUAUUAAUAUUAGCUAUUUUAAUUUUAUUUUUAAUAAUUUUUUUUGAAAUAAUUUUUAAUAAAAUUAUAAUUAGGUAUCUACUACUACCUCCGUUCCUUUUUAAGUGUCACUUUUGGAGAAAAUUUUUGUUCCUCUUUAACUGUCACUUUCAAAGUUCAAUGCAACAUUAAAUGUUGUUUUACCAAUAUUGUCCUUAGUUAUUUAUUGUGGAGAGAGAAAUAUAUGAAAUGGGAUAUUAAAUGAAUAAGGUCAGUACAUCUUAUUGCAUCAAAAGUGGUAUCAAUUGUUGAUUGUCUUGAUUUAUGUAAAAUGUGACAAUUAAAAAGGAACGGAGGUAGUACAAUAUUAAAUAAAAUAAACGUCAACAUAAUAUAAUCAACCAGGUCAUGAAAUAUGACCUUAUUGGAAUAAGAACGAAGUAGAAACUGAAAUUUCAGAAAUCGAAAUCUUUGAUGUAAGUCGAUUUAACGAACUAUCUCAUUAGAAACCUAGUCAACAUGGAAUGACAUUGCUCCGACAAUCAAAAUGGAUCCAACCAACUAACGGUAUCAGAUAUAAUCAAUCAGACCGUUGAAUAUGUCCAUAUUGAAGUAAGAAUGAAACACGAACUGGAAUUUUGAAAAUCGGAAUCUUAAAUGUAAGUCGAUCUGACAAACUAUCACAUUAGAAAUCUAGUCAACAUGAAAUGACAUUGCUCCCACGAUCAACUUAAUUAAUAAAAAUAUUACUAAUGAUCACAUUCUUUUUUUUUUUACUAAAAUUAUCACAUUCUUAAAAAGUGAAUGGCUAUUCGACAAAAAAUAUUAGUAAUGAUCACAUCAAAAAAAAAGUUAUGAGUUUUUAAAAUUUUAUCAUAUCGAUAGAUAAAAUUUACAACAAGUGUAGUGCAAAUAUUUAAAAGUGUUUUUCAUAUAAAAUAAAAAUUAUUUAAUAAGAACACUUAUUAAUGUUGAUAUUUUGAAAUAGUCAUAAGUUUUCAAAAUUUUAUCAUAUCGACUUUCUAAUAUCGGUACAUAAAAAAUUUCAAAAAAUAAAUAAAUUUCUUAUGCAGAUAUUUUUAAAAUAGUGAUGAACUAUUAAAGUUUUAUCUUUGAUGCACGUCGAUCUGACAAACUAUCCCAUUAGAAACCUAGUCAACAUGGAAGGACAUUGCUCAAACGAUUAAAACGUACAAAACCGACUAACGAUAUCAAAUAUAAUCAAUCAGACCGUUGAAUAUAACCUUAUUGGAAUAAGAACGAAACAGGAACUGAAAUUUCAGAAAUCAAAAUCUUUGGUGUAAGUUGAUCUGACAAAAUAUCAUGUUUGAAACCUAAUCAGCAUGAAAGGAUAUUACUGCGACGAUCAAAAGAAAUUCAACCGACUAACACUAUCAAAUAUACUCAAUCGGACCAUUGAAUAUUACUUAUUGAAUAUGACAUUUAUGAAGGAGAUGUCUUAAGACACUUUUUAAUGAUUACAAAUUAAAAAAUUAUUCUUUUUAAAAAAAUCAAAUAUUUCAAUUUGCAAUGCAUUGAAUAUUGGGUUAAAUGUGUUUUGAUCUUUAUAAAUAUUCUAAUUUUUCAUUUUAGCCUCUUUAGAGUUAUGAGACUAAAAUGAAAACAACAAGUAACUUAGUGUACCAAAGGUUCAAUUAAGUUAAAAAAUAAUAAUUCAAUUUAAUUUCCGUAUAUAUUGCAAACGUACAAGAUUUUCAUAAUAAAUUGAUUGUGAUUCAUUGGUUAUAAUGCUAUACUUGUAUCUUGAGGUUCCUGGUUCAAUCCAUCAUACUAAUGAAACUCGUGUUUAAUUUUUUUUUCCAGCGCUUUUUUUUAAGCAAAACAAAAAUAAAAUCAACCUUGGCAUGGAAUCAAACUCGCAACCUUGAAGCGUUUUUAAGUAAAUUAAACCACUGCAACGUGUGCAUUUAGUGUACAAUGUUUUCGUUCUUGCUUAUUUAUAAAAUAAAUCUGAUAAAAAAAGUCAUCAUUCCAGCCGGGUCACUUUAACCCGGUUCAGAUAUUCGAAACCCGAAAUCAAACCCGACGAUUUAGAGCAAUUUCAACGUCGAAAAUGAUGAUUAUAUAAAUUGUUUUCAAUACUAUUCUCCUUUACUUCCCACCUAUAUGAAUUCCAAAUCAAGUAUUUGAAAAAAGUUGCGUGUUGUUCAUACAAUCCUUACACCGUCGUCGGAUUAUUGCUGCCAUCGCCGACGGUUAUCCUCCCAUCUUUGUGCCUACGACGCUGGAUUUUACAACAUAGAUUUGGAUUUUUUUUUUUUUUUUUAAAGCAUAAAUCUGGAAAUUUUAAUAACCCAAAAAAAACUGGAUUUUUUUUAAUUUUUUUCCGUUUAUUAAACGCUUCUACUUUAGUCAAAUAAGUUUGUAAUAUUCAACAAGCUAGUGGAUGAGACUCGCCAACGUCAUAGUUGAUCGGCGUGAAUUUUCUUCUAUUUGGCUCAGUUACACUAGAUGUUUUUUGACAUGCUACGUCACUGACUUGUGAAUAACCAAAUGAUGCUCUACUUGUUUCUAUUUCAUGUACUCUUAAUUGAAUUCCAGUAAUGUGAUUGCUAAAAAAUUUAAAAUCAAUUCAGGUCUGUGGAGAUAAGUUCAAAUUGCGUUGCGCAGGAGAUUAAGCCAAUCCAUACUUCACGAAAUAACACAGAACUGGAAAUUUUAAUUUUUGGAGGUGGUGGCGGCGGCCAUCAUCAUGGUGGUGGAUAUGGUGGACGGGUUUUAUGAACAGUUUAUCAUAGAAUAGUAAAAAAUUAUAAUGCAAAACAAUAAAUAAAUAAAUUGGAAUAAAUGGGUUGUUGAAACUUGAAAUAGAAAGAAGAAAAGGUGAAAAAAGAGAAAGGAAUUAAAUAUAGUGUGAAAGGCAACACAAUAAGACUAGUGAGGUGUUUAAUCCGAUGGUUCAAAAAAUCUAAUAAAACUAGUCUACGGUAGAACAUAUUGAGCAGAUGCACAACACAUAUUAUGCAACAAUAAACACACAUGACAUAUGGCGCAUUAUUAUUGGAUGUAAGAUAACUUCACCAAAAAAGUCAAUUGAAUAACUUCACCAUAGAAUUUCCCUUGAAUUUUAUUUAUUGAUGGAAAUAAAGUUAGAUUUUGAUUUUUUUAUAAUGAACAAAGAUAGAUUGUUUGAAGGGAUUGCCACAUUAAUUAAUAGUUAAUACUCUCCAAAUCCUUAAAAGAAAAAAGAAAAAAACUCUCCAAUUAUUAUCAACGGUAAAAUAUAAAAAAAAUAAAAAUUGUAUCAUAAAUUUGUACUAUAUAAAAAAAAACUCUCCAAUUAUUAUUUUCCUUGAAAAUUUCUUUAUUAAAAAAAUUAUAACAAAAACAUAUUACACUAUAAAAAUAUAUUUUAAAAAAGCGAUAACAAACCGGCCCUUAAUGACCAACUACACAAACUUGGAACAAUAAUAAAUAAAUUAACUAAAAGUUUCGUCUGACUUUUUUUCUACUUCUCUAGAUUUUUUUAAGAAGAAGUAUGUCAAACACAAUAUAAAUUAAGUUCUUAAUAAAAAAAUAAAAAAAGUUUUUUGGGAAUGGAAAAAACUAAAUGGAAGGAACUUUGAAUAAAAUGUAUUGAAACCUACUUUACAACCACUUUUAAUCAGAGAUUAGUUUUAUGGUCUCUAUUUUGAUACAUAACCCUAUGUUGAAAUUAUAAGAUAUAAGAUAAUUGAUACAGUUUUGCCUUAAAAAUAUCAUAUGAUCUUUUUUCAUAUACAUGCAUGCAUAAUAUGUAUGUGACACGUUCGUACGUACCUUGUACCACUUGAUGUCCCACAUCAUUUGCAUGGCCGCACUAGAUAUCCUCCAAGCAUUGUUUUCGUUGUGUGUUGCUGUAAAUGCUGCUAAGUGUAAAAUGGUGUUUUCAUUGAUAUCAACUUGUUGAUUUAUGCUCUGAAAGGUUUCCAUAGAAAGCCUCUUCCACAACCCUUCAACAACUUGUGGCUGUCUAUAUUUCACUGCUAUAAGUAAUGCAUUUUCGUUGUCAGAGUUAGUUUCAUGGAUGACACUUUUUAGUUUAGAUUCAAGCGCAAGCAUGAUUUCAGUUAUGCCAUGUUUUGCUGCACGCAAAUAUGCUGUAUCAUUUGUGCCACUUUUCUUUGCUUCUAAUUCCUUCAUUGCUACAAGUAAUAAGCCUUUCUUGUCAGAUGCCUUUACUUUUGAAUUAAGCUCUUCCAUAAUUUCAACUACGCCAUUUUUAGCCAAAUCUUCCAUGUUUUGAUUUCCUUCUCUCUCUUGUUUUGAAUUCUUUUUUAAAUCCUCUGCAAUACACAACUAUGAUUGUUAUACUUUUUUUUUUUUUUUUUGCGAAACAAAUUAUGUUACUUCACACAAAUUAAAGAUAAAUUAUAAAUAGAGAAAGAUAUAAAAAAAAAAAAUCAAAUUAUUGCUAAAUUGCUAAUUAACAAGUGUCAUAGUUCCGCCUCUAAAUAAAUUGUCAUAGCUAAGGAAAUCAAAAAUAGAAGUUUUUUUUUAUUGGAAAUAAGAAAUUUUAAACGUUAAAAAGGUUGAAUACAAAUGUUUUAAGAGAAUACUACUACGUUUAUUUAUUUAAUGUGUGUAUUUAAGACACUUGUUAGUAAAUUAGUUUACUCUUUUCGUUCAUUUCUUUUUUAAGGAUACUCAUUUUAGGGAUGGUAAAAAGGGUCAAUCCGCUCCGUUCGGCACCGUCCCGCCAAUAAUCCGUAUAAAUAGGGCGCGCAGUGGGGCGGGUCAAUUAGAGAUGUAGAGUUGAAAAUUUCACCUCGUCCCAUUUUAUGGCGGACCGGCAAAUUGGCGGGUUGACCCCGUCGGUGUUUUUUUUUUUUUAAAAAAAAAUAUUAAUAAAAAACUUCACAUAAACAUGUAAAAAUAUAUAAAUUUAAAGACUAUAAAGAAGUAUAAGUAUAUAACUAAUGACUCCACAAAAAAUAUGAAAAUAAUCAUUCAAACAUAUAAAUUACAUCAUCUAAAAAUAUAGAGUAAAUCAUUAAAACAUUCAAAAUAAAAAGUUCACGAGUUAUUAAUUGACUAAGAGUUAAAAAGUGAUAAAAUUAAUUGAAAUCCCCUCCACACCACUUUACAGAAGAGAAAGUUAAAAAAUUGAUUGUGACUUAUAAAUAAAAAACGUCUAAAUCGUCACUGCCCUACUUUUUUGCAGGUUAGGCGGAGCAGGCACCCUACCAGCGACGGGUUUAAAAUUUCAACCCAACCCACUAAAAAAAUAGGUAAUCGAGUCCAACCUGACGGGUCCAAUCCAUUUUGUCAUCUCAGAUAAUAAUUAAUAUAUGUAGCAGUUUGACUAUCUAUACUAUUUACAGAAUCUAUUUUGACCAUAUUGUUUUACUAAUAUAUAAGGAUAAUUAUUAGUAUUUUUUUUUUUUAAGAUGAAGGAUACAAUUAUUAGUAAAUAAAAUGAUCGAUUUGUCUUAAUCAAUAUUUUUAAAAUAUUAAUUUUUAUAAUUUUUAGUUAUAGAUAAUUAAAUAUAUUAAUGAUCAUAGUUUUGUAUUGAUAUGUGCAAAAUGGUCUAACAUGCAAUUAAGAACCGACAAAGUUAUUAAGUCAUUUUUUUGUCCAAAAAUAUUAUUUUGUUCUUACCCUCUUCCCGUUUGCGCCUGACAUCUUCAAAAAAACUCUCAGCUUUCUCUUUUAUUUCUUCGUCAUGUUCUCCAUAAUCAAAGGGAUCAGCCCCACCACACAUGUAUGACUCAUAAGGAUCUUUCAUAAAUGCUUCCAAGAGAUGGCUACCGCAUAUGUGCUCCAUCUUAACCCUCUUUAUUGCCCCUUAGUUUGCAAAAUUAAUUAAGUUCAGCAAAAUUAAUUAAGUGUGUGCACAAAUCAAAAGACCAAUGGUUAAAUAAAAUAAUGUCAUCUCAUGAGCAUAGCUGAAUUGACAAGAACUUUGCAGUAUAUAUGAGCUGAGGUUUGAACUCGAAAUUUCUCACUUAUUAACUUUAAAGACUAUAGACAGCAUGAUAACAACAACAACAACAAGAAGUAGAAUAGUAUUGUAUCAUUCAUUAGCUUAUUUUGCACCAUUAAAUUAAUAGAUCACAACACACACACACACACACAUAUAUAUAUAUAUAUAGGACAUUUCAAGUGAGAGGGGGUUUUAAAAUGAGAGGAUGAGAGGAUUAAAUAAGAACCCUUAGAUUAAAUUUAACGGUUGUGAUUAAUUUACUCAAUAAAAAAGCCACAUGUUCUAUCUGUAGUGUACACACACGUCAUCUUCCUCCAUGUAUCAUCCAGAUCCACAAUUUCACACCUUUCAUCUUCCUUCAAAAUACUUGCAAGGCUGCAACACUAAAAUCCAACAGUAGCACUAACAGUUUCCGACCCUUGGAUACUCAUCGUCGGAACUUGUGAAAGCCACCAUCAUCGUCGCCGUCGCCGAUGUAAGAAUAUCCAAUCGCUUUGUUUUCGGUGGUCAUCGCUUUUCUGCCUCUGAGUCCCCCGUUCGUGUUCCAUCGUCGUCUGAUUUUCGGUUCAAAUGGAAAAAAAAUGAAUUUUUUUGUUUCUGUCAUAGAUUGAGUAUUGCAAAAUUGAAUUUCUUAACCUCCACCAGAACACAAAAAACGAUUCAAUAAAAGUUAAAAGGUAAGAAAUUCUGUCAUAAUUCUUCUUCUCUAUUCUGAACCUUGUUAUCCAUAAUUUUGUUUGUUGAUUACGAUGAUGGGGGAUAAUGAAGUUUAAGAAGAAGCAGCACAUAACUACUCGUGAGAGAGAGAACAAAGUGGAAAAAGAAAAGGUGGAGAGUACGGUACAUAAACCCUUUUUUAAAGAGUAAUUAAAUUUGAAGCGUCGAUUUAGAUCCAACGAUCAAAAUUAAUUCCUCUCAUCCUCUCAUUUUAAAAGUCCUCUUAUUUGAAAUGUCAUAUAUAUAUAUAUAUAUAUAUAUAUAUAUAUAUCACUAAUUGAUCUAUUAAAACUUAUUGAUUGAAUUGUGUAUGACGAUCUCCCUUGUGUAACACAAUGGUAGGAUGCAAAUUAAAUCAUGUAAAAAUAAAGGUUAAGUUGUUCAAUAUACAUACCCAACAGUGACUGAGUAGACCAUCUUUUUCUUGGUGAUGAAAACAGGGUAUGCCAUAUGGCGAAUACAAACAUUUGAAUGCAGUGACAUAAAAUCUUAGCAGUAAAAUCUAGUCGAGCAAGAGUAUGUCGUACUUUGCAUGCCUUUUCCAAGUCAUCAACAUUGUAUGAUGGUAUUCUUUGAUCACCUUUUUCUGCGGUAUAUAUCGAUAGGUUAGUAAUAUAAUGAACCACAUUGAAAUAUCAUCACUAAAAUUAUCAUAUGCUAAAUUGUUUCAAAAUAAAGAGAGAAAUAAAUAUUAAUUAUAAUUAUAAUAAUAUUAUUAACUUUUCCAACGGAAUUUGAACUUCAUCCAUAUUCAGGUUAUGAGCUUAUGGAGGAAUGUAUAUAUUUAUUAUCCAAUAUUACUAUACAUGACGAUGUUUGGAUCUGAGAAUUUAAUAUCGAAUAUUUGUUUCCGUAAAAGUGGUUUAUGUGUUGGUAUCAAAUUUUGAAAUUGUAUCAGAUUCUCCUUUAUUUAGAGUUACUUGGGCUAAUUUGAUAUCAUUGAAUAUUUUGUUGUAUAUAUUGAGAUUACUAAAUAAUUGUCUUACAACUCAAAUUACUUUGAUCCACUGAGGGGUAUAAAAUCUAGCAUCUCAUCUUUGUGUGGAAUGAUGAAAUUUGAACAAAACAUCCAAACAUUUGUUUUCUCAUUAUCCUAUUACGGGCUAACUAUGGUAGGAUGUUCUAUUUGGUUAAAUAUCAACUUGUAUGUUGAUAGAUGAUAACUCAUGUAAUGUUGUCAAAUGUAUAGCUUUGGUAGGUUAUGGUAAAAAAUUACAUGAAUGUCUUCAUUCGAUUUGGUUAGUAUCCACGUGGUCAAUUUAGAAGCAUCGUAACCACAUGGCUUUCGAUUAUAAGGAACAUAUAUUAUGUUCACCCUUUGACAUGGUUUCAAUACUGGUAUUGUCAUGGAUUAAGUCUAAAAUUGAUGGUUUUCUUAUGAUUAUAUUUAUGUAGCAUUGAACAACUCAAAUAAACUGUUUAUGAAUAAUUCUUUUUGUUAGUUUAUUACUAACUUCGUCUCUAAUUAUAAGGCUUUUUUGGAAAAAUAAUAGGAAUUCAGAAAAUUGAAAGUGCUAAUAAAUUUGCUUGUAACUGUUGUUGUUUUUACAAUUUUAUUCCUUAAUGGAGGGUAUAUUUUCAACAUGGUAUUUAAUGCUGAUAGAAGAAAAAUAUAUAAAAUAAAUAGGGGUGUAUUGGUAAAAAAAUUAAGUAAUGUACUUUGAAAUAUCAAAGAGAUCUUAUAAAAAGAGACAAAUUUUGAUCUCAAAAGUAUCUUAUAUAUAGGGACAAAGGUAGUAUCAAUUUUCAUUUUGGAUUAAUGGUGUUGUUGCUUUUGUGCCUUUUCUCUAAUAUUUGAUUACUAUAUCUUUUUAAUCUUACCUUUUCUUUUACUAUUGUAUCUUUUUCAAUCUUUGACCUUUUAGAAAUAACCAUUAAUUUAUGGAAAAAAUAAGAGAACUAUUAAUAUAGUUGACAAAUUACUAAACACUAGUACAUAAUGACCGUGGCUAUGUAUCAUAAGAGUCAAUUCAUUGAAAACUUACCUUGGUGAGCAAUGUCUUCAACGCCAUACAAUUUAAUUCUAGUUUUUGGAUCUGAGACUUUGACAGAAAUACCUUUAACAGCAAAUUUUUGUAAAAAACGUUAGACCUUUAUUUUGAUGAAUUUUGGCAUAAAACUACAAGAAUGCAAGUAAAAUUCCUUUAGACUUCCAAAAUACAUGAAUUUGACAAGAUUUAUCUUUCAAUUAUCCCUCUAUAUUAACUUUUCUUUUGAACAACAAACAAUUCAUGCUAUGUAGUAGUAACAUGGAUUUGAAAGAAGAAAAAUAAUCGUGUUGGAAUAGAAGAUGAAUUACAUGUGGCUUUCCUAAAAGUAAAUCGUAUGAGGCUAUUACAAAGUAAGAAGAGUGAAGCAAGAUAGUUCUAAUAUUUUACACUAUCUAUAUUCUUUAAUCCUAGAUCUGAAUUAUAAAGCACUUGUAUUACUUGAGUCUUGUUCUUUUGGAUAGGAAUUUGGUAUUGAAAUAGUUGUGGUUAUUAGUAUACUAUUAUUUAUUAGUUUGCUACUUUGUCACUUCUUGUGAUUGGACUAGUUAUUAAUACAUGUAGCUAGCUAGGGGAAAUAUAUGAAGGUUUAUGGAAAUUAUAAUGAGGAAAGGUUUCUUUUUUUUCAACAAGUCAAAAUGGAAUAUAAUAUUAAUUGAAAGGCGAUUCACUCCGCACAAGGCGUGCUAGGAGAGAAGCACUCAACAGUUUACAAUGUCACAAUUGGUGCCUCGCUGAGAAGCACCAGAAAUAAACGAAAGAUAAUAAAUUAUAUGGUAACACCCAUACAAAGAAGCGGGUACUGACACCAGUCGUGAUAACAAAAAUCAAAAGAUGGCUGAUUUGUUUUCAACCACAUAAACGAAUUCAACUUCACUUUGUCAGAAAGGGUACACGGAUCAUAAGCCACAUUUUUUAAGCUGCGGUUGUUUCGUUCUUUCCAUAUUAUUCAAAUAGAAGCAAGCGAAAUUAUCCUGAAGAAUGAAUGAAAAGAUUGUGGCAUACGUGCCAACCGAGAAAACUGAUCAAAAGGUUCACAUAUCACGCCUGAAGGGACGAAAUCAAUACCGAGCCAACGCCACAAUAUAGACCACAUGCUGCCAAAUAUGUCACAAGCUACGAAAAGGUGUACCGCCGUUUUCGGAACAGCCACAUCCUCCCACACACAUAGUAUCAUUAUGAUGAAGAACUCUCCGUGGCAAUAGAUUUGUUUUGGUAGGAAUUCUAUUGCGGAGGAAGCGCAAAGAAAAAACAGAUAUCUUUGAAGGGACGACCUUAUGCCACACAUUGAAAAUGUGACCCCCAUACAAAACUUCAUAAGAUGCCGUCAAAAAAUGAUAGGUUCUGCGCAUUGAAUAGCCUUGAGUAGGUUCAAGCAACCACUUCAAACUAUCAUUAACAUGGUCCUGCAAAACCACAUUAUGUAAUAAAACACAGAACUCCCUCACAAACUCCUCCUCCCACAACAAAAGUCCUCUCCGCUACACCCAUCCACUCCCUCCUUCCUCCCAACCUAACACCGUCAUAUCAGCCUCCGAACACUCUCAAUGCACGGCUAAAUAAAAAAGUCGACGGAAUUUAUUCUGUAAAGGAACUUCUCCAACCCAAUUAUUCGUCCAAAAGAAAGUAUUUUUACCAUCCCCGACUACCUGACGAAUGUUGUCCUCAAACCAAUUCCCUACUCCCGUCCCCUCCCCUCCACGAAUGUUACACAACACUCUCCACCACAAGGAGCCGUGUAUCCCCCCUCCUUCAAUCACCCCCUCCUCGCCGUAUCUAGCUUUUAACACUCGAUACCACAACCCUUCCUUCUCAACCAACAUCCUCCAACACCAUUUCCCUAAAAGUGAAAGGUUAAAUUCUUCUAACCGCCGCACUCCCAAACCCCCUUGCUCCUUCGGUAAACAAAUAGACUCCCAUUUUACCCAACCAAUUUUCCUUAAAUCCUGACCCUCCACCCCCCCAAAAAAAAAAAAACAAAGAAAACUUUUAAAAAUAGAUUCGAUAGAAGAAAUUAUACCUGCAGGGUCAAUAAAGAAGGAAAGAAAGUAAACCAGAAGCGAAGAGAUGACAGAUUUCAGUAAUACUAGAUGGCCAGCAAAUGAUAAAAACUUAUUGUUCCAUGACGACAACCGAGCUAUAAUACGAUCAAUCACAGGUUUCCAAAGUUGAGCUUCUUGACAUCCCCACGGAUUGGCAACACCAACUAAACAAAAUGUAUGCAUCAUGUUCUACAGUUCAUCACUGAAUCCACUUCCCUGAACCAAGAAUCAGAGACAUUCACUCCAGUCAACAUACUUCCCUAACGUGCGCUCUAUGCGGGCGGUGUUUCUUUUAUUUGAGAACAUUUCAAACCAUGAGAGUAUUAUUCAUGAGCUGAAGAUUAGAUAAUUGCGCAUCACCCUGCCAGCCAACACUAUACCCGCGAUACAAAUUAGCAUUCACCAAAGUAUUCAUCAAGACCUUAAAACCUUCGGCUUCUAGAAGGAACAAGGAAGGGGAAAGGGUAUCCCCUUGCCUGAGCCCUCGCUCAAUAAGAAACUCCUCUAUCAGCAACCCAUUCAUAAGAACUGAAGUAGUUGCCGUCCGACGCAUUCAAAAAUCUAUUUCCGCCAUAAAUUCAGGAAAUGCAUAUGAAUCAUCAUCGAAUCAAGAUAGUUCAAGUCGACUGAAUUAUAUGCCUUUUCGAAGUCGACUUUGAACAACAACAUUUCCUUAUUCAUGUGCUUAGCCUAGUCCACAACCUCAUUAGCAAUAAGAAUACCAUCUAAAAUUUGCUUUUCGUGAAUAAAUGUUGACUCAGAAUCUGAAAGAACGCUACCAAUGACCGCACAUAACCUAUUAGCAAGAACCUUAGGCAACAUCUUAUACAUGUAUCCCACAUAACAAAUGGAUCAAAAAUCAUUAAGCUUUUGUGGACGGUCCGACUUCGUAAUUAACGCAAUAAAUGUUGAAUUCACCCCUUCAUCAGUUUCCCAUUACGAUGGAAUUAUGACAAAAAUCUCAUAAAGUAAUCUUUUAAUUCUUGCCAAAACUGUUUGAUGAAGCCAAAACGGAUACCAUCGGGUCCCAGACUCUUAUAACUAUCGCAAUCCCAGACUGCCUAUUUCAACUCAUCUAUAGAAAAAGGCCAAACUAGAUUGCAUGCAUCCGCACUCGGCAAUUUGCGGAAAUGCUCACCAUCCACCCCCGACCUUUCAACGCCAAGUGGUCGGAAAUGACAAGAAAAAUGUUUGAAAACAGUUGUUCUAACAUUUUAGACCCCUUCGACUUUGACGUCAUCCACAUAGACCAACUGAAUAGCAUUGUGGUGCCAUCUGUUAGACAUAACAGAAUGGAAGAAUUUUGAGUUAGCAUCACCUUCCUGGAGCCAAGUCAUCCUUGCCUUCUGCUAAUUAAUACUUGUCUGCACCCAUGACAUAGAAUGCAAACUAACAGACAACUCACGAUGCACCUGCACCUCAUCAUCAAGAAGCGCAAAUUCCUCCCCCUUAGUGUCAAGGGAAGAAAUUUGAUUCUUCAUCUCCGUAAUCUUGUUGUCCAACACGCAAAUUCUUCGAUUGUUGUUGAUGCUAAUCUUUCAGACAUUGUUUAAUCAUCUUCAGCUUCUGUUUCAACACAAAACCGCCCCAUCCUUCCACAUUAAAAGUUCGCCAUUUGUCACGAACAAAGUCCACAUAACCAGGAUAAUCCGCCCAACACUUCAUCAUCCGAAAAGGCCGAGGUCCCCAUUAGUGGCAUCAGAAAGUAGUACUACCAGGACGUGAUCAGAGAGACCCCGUUGAAGCACAGUCUGAAUGCAAUUCGGCCAUGUAUCACACCAUGUCACAGACAACCAAAGCCUGUCAAGUUUGCUCAUCGUAACACCAUCACCGCGAUACUAUGUGAACAAACGACCACAAAUCGGUAAAAUCAAUAAGCAAACAGUCAUCAAUAAAUUUGUUAAAACCAUAUGUAUCGUACUUAUAUAAUUUGGUAGGUAAAUAAUGUAUUUGUAUGAUGGUGACCUUUUAUAUAAUUUGUGAAAAUUAAUAAUCAUUUUACACCGCAACAUCCACCAUACAUGUCGCAACAACCGCAAGACCACAAUUUAAAACCAUGAUUCACUUGGUUAGUUGGGCUCUCAUUCACAAUAACAUUUAUGCUCCAUAAGAAUACAAUUUUUAUGACAAACAUAUAAGACGUGGUUUAUCGAGUUAUUAUAGGCUUAUUCGGAUAUUGAUAAAACAAAAAGAGAAACGUUUAAAGGUUUUUUUUUUUUAAUUUAAUUUUGUUUUAAAAUAUAUUUGUUUUUAUACCACAUAUAUGCAUAAAAAAUACCAUAUAUGCGUGUGUCACUUACAGUUGUAAAGAAUUUUCAUCCACCAUGAUAGCUGAUUUUUACUACUCUCGAAAGCUGAUGUCCUAGUAGCAAGAAUUUCAAGAGGAGAGACUCCAUAUUUGUCCUCCAUAGAGCGAAAAAUUGGAUACAAAUACAUUAUUAUAUUUGCCAUACCUGUUGCAUAAGACACGUAGAUUAUUAACAAGGUAUAUACAGUAAAAAAUUUGGUUAAUAUUUUUUUUCAAGUCUAGAUUAAAUUUUACCAUAGAAGAAUUUCUUAAUUAAAAUAAGUUUAUAAUUUUCACCUCUGAUGUUUUUAAUAUAUUGAAAUUUUAUUAUUAAGGUGUAGUAUGGAUCUAAAUGGUUAAAUUUCGAUAGCUAGCCAAUUAGAUAAGGUCAGGUCAGCAAAAUAACUUAAAGUAUUGAUCUAACCAACCAGAUGAGAGUAGCUAACCAACUAAGUGAUGCCAAGGGACGGUCAAUAAGUUGAGUAAUGUUAUUGUUUUCAUAAAUAUAAGAAUACAGUUGGUCAAAAAUAAAUAAAAUAUAAGAAUACAAUUGAAUUUAAUUGUUGGAUCAUUGUAAGGGGAUAGGAUCCCACAAUUAAUCUAAAAAAUGUAUACUUUUAUUAAUAUUAAUAUUUGAUCUUAAUUUAAAAUAUUAUUUCAUAUAUGAUAUAUCCCCUAAAUAUAUAUUUCUUCUUAAAUAUUUUGAUUAAAAAUUCCAUUAUUAUUGUUAUGGACCACUCACACGGCUACAUGUGUACAAUAAUACGCCGCCUUAAGGCUACACACUUAAAGGAGCACGCCAACAUGCCUGCACCAAGCCACACCAGAGCACGCCUCAUUGUCGGGAUCACGCUACAUAUGUCCUUUCCCGCUCCUAAUCAUACGCCGAAUAACCUAGAGACGGUUAUGCCAUAAGCGCGCCUAUAUAAGGGUGAACUUGCUUCACCCUCAAGGUACACAAUACUUUCCACAAUAUUUCUAACACUUUCACUCUCAGUUCCCAUACUGACUUGAUCGUCAAGGUGCUAACGUGCCUGCAGGAACCCUUUGUUCCACCACAAAAGACACAUCAGUGCCGCACAGGAAGCAGUUACCAAUCAACGGAACACUCUCUACAACCGUUCCUAUCAGACAUAUCAUUUGGCGUUAGAAGGAAGGGAUCAUUCGCUAAACCACGAUGGUCCAACGAUCCUCCACCAUAACCAUUUUCACGUAUGCACAUCUCCGUCGUAACCAUUUUUAGUUACACAUUCCUCCACCGCAGCGGUUGACAAUUAUCGCUCCUACAUUCGAAGUAAUGGCCAAAGUUCAUGGAAGAACCACCGCAAGCCAUCCUUCCACCAGUCGGACACCACAUUCGACGACUCAGAUUCUCAAGGAUCGAACAACCUCGAUCCAUGAAAUAGUGAAUUAAGAAAAAAAAAUGGUAUUAUCUUGGAUGCCACCGCAACGGCUCUGAUUCAACAGUUUUUAAUUUCCUACACCUUCUUGAUGAGAGAAACACACUCCUUCAACACUGCUCCUUCAGAUCUCGCCGUCAUCUGAGACGAAGGAACUACUGGUGAACCUGAUGAACCUACUUCAACAAUAGAGUAACCGACUUGAGCGUGUAGAGAACGGUAGAAACGAAACUUUGGGGAAUUUUUUUGAAAGAAAUGCAAGAGGAGUUCCGUCGAUCCAUGGAAACCGCCACGGGAGCCUUAGCGCGUUACAGUUCGAAUUUGAAGCGCGAGGGAAACCUUACCCGCUAUCUCCCGUUAUGGUAACUCGGCGAAGUAUUUGAUCGCUAGGGAAUGCCGACACUCCCUAAGUCACCUUGCAUAAGCGAAAACGAAACGCCAAAAGCAGCACACUGCCAGAGGAGAAAGAGAACUAACCACCAGAGAAGAGGCUUCGAUUUCCGCAGAAAAAGUUUAUUCACUGAAGUCGCAGGAUUACAAUUCUUCCUCCAAAAGAGAGAUCUUGGUUUCAACUUCCUUAGCUUGGGCCUUCCAGGCGACGGUCUCCGAACAUUCCUCACUUAACUUCUGACUCGAACGGUCAUGAUCAGCGUACAGGUUUGUCACUUGCUUGUCAAAAGAAGAAAGAGCCUCUUUUGCAUCUCAUGCCUACAUUUCAGAAUCUACAAAUUUUUGGCUAAGCUCCCGACACACGUUCUCGACUGCCUACCGGACCUCCUUGCCCGCCACUUCUUUGGCUUCCUUUAGAGCCGCUUGAUGGGAAGCGAUGAUGUCUCGAAGCUUUUUGUCUCCCUAUUUGAAGAAACAAGACAUGUCACCCGUCGUACGUUCAAGAGCAUCCCCCUAAAGCAAAUCAUAGCCCGCCAUCAUGGUACACAAAACGACGGUCUUAUAUGCACUAAUCCACCACCAAUUCCCUCCGCUGAUAGACGACAUUAAACUUACAGCAACAAGAGAAAAAUAAACAAGCAAUAUAAACUGAGUAAACAAAAGGCAAAAAGUAAUGAAAAACCCCAAGGGAACACCGGCUCACCAAAAAUCUCACAGUGGUGGGCAGCAUCCUGCACCUGAAGAAUCAAAAGGGUAUCCACAAACUAGGGCACUUUCUACGAAGGACCCUCAGAAUUCUUCAAAUCCGGAACCCACUACAAUAUAAAACCAGCAAUCAAAUCCUCAAGAGAGAACUUCAUACACCUGUCGAAAGGGGUAAGGUCUCCCUUCACGAAGGAGUAAUCGGCGGCCGGCUUGUCAAAAUGUUACUUAAUCCAAAAAUGGGGGAAAAGAGGCUUAUGCGCCAUAAUCUCUGAAAAUAGGACCUCCAGUCUCGGGCCAUCCAAAUCAUUAUCGUCCGGGUAGUCCGAAGGAACGUGCCAGACACGCGUAGUCCUUAAAAAACAUUAUUCUCUAAUAAAGUUCUACCCAACCAUGAGUCACUACCCCAACCGCGCCGCGAACCCCAAAGAGGGUAAAAAAGUUAUGAAAGUUGGGUCGCCGGUGUUUAUACUCACGACAGAACUAGUAAACCUUCACAAAAACCCAAGAUAGAGAGUGAAGUUGGGAAGGCGCCACCUUCAGAUGACGAUGAACCACUAGCUUGAAACUGCUAAAAGGGGAAGAGCAUCUAGUUCCCCGUUCAAUAUACACGUCCUUUUCGACCCUUUCGGACCUUCCAAAGCCCAGGACCCAUGGAGACUCCAUGGAAUCCCGUUCAACUGGUCGACCGACUGAUAGUAAGAGACAACUUCUGUAACGACACCAACCACCCAACUGUAAUCAAGUUUUAGACCAGGACGCCCGCACGACUAACCAUUGGUAGAGGUUCUCUCUUCCUAAAAAGAUAAGGGAAAUCGUGAGCACGAGCCCUAGAGCACUCGUCCAACCACCACACAAUCUUUCAAUAAGAAGGGGGAUGUCUCAGACGGCCAACAAGAGAUGCCUUCAUUUCGCAAUACAACUCAUCCCCUUCAAUAUCAAUAACUACAACGAGGUUUUCUAAAGUAAUGGAAGGAAAAGUAAAAUCAGUGCCUACCCUCAGAGCCUCUCCUUCACCGUCAACCAAGAUGGGAUAAUCACUAAUCAUUGAAUCCACCAAGCAUCCAAAACUAGCUAAAUGAUCACUCAUUUCACAUUAUCCAACCCCAAAGUAAGACUAGAAGGGAAGAUGAAAUAAGAAAAACACUGGAAAAAGGAGGAGUAUGGAAUUGCAUUACCAAGCGCCUAGGGCAUGCAAUAUGCGCCUUAAGCAUUGCUUAAAGCAAAUAUGCACCUUAAGCAUAUGCUAUGCACCCCAAAUAUCUUAAAAUGUGGGGGCGCAUGCGUAAUUUUAUUCAUUUUUCUGGGUUUAGCCCGCGUUUUUAGUCCAAACCCAGUUAAAAAUCUCCCUUAUAAAUACUAGCUUUCCUCAUUCAGAACUGUGGAAAUUCAAGAGGAAGGCUACUUAGGAGCUUCAGGAGAGAAUCUAUCUUCUCCUUGAUUUUCUAGGGUAUGUUUUUAUCUUUAGUAUUUUAUUUUUAGUUACCUUGUAUAACUAAAUCAUUUUAGGUUAGGGUUCUAAGAUGAACCUCUGUAUGUUUUUUAUAGGAUAUUUAUUUAAUUUAAUAUGUCAUUUAUUUUAUUUAUUUAUUCUUUUGUUCGUUAGUAAGUUGUAUUAGGAAGUAAUUUAUUUCUGUGAAAGGUGCAACCCUAGAUUAGGUACUUAGGAUGUGACAGGGCCUAAUAUUGCUAUCACUAACUUGAUGCUUAUAAGUUGAUAUUUAUAUCCCUUUACUGAUAACAAUAUGUUCAGUAAGUAGUUGAUUAUUAACUAUCCAAAGAUACCAUAGGAAUUGUUGACCAUAGACGUAGGAACUCAGUGGCUAAAACCCACUUGGUCAGGUGGUGCCUUACGGAACCUAGGAAUUAAUUGGUUAGUAAUUAGGGAAAAGGGUACUUAGCUGUCCGAAAAAAGUUGCAACAUAAUAGAAUCAUUCUCCUGAAACCCUUAGUAAGGUGGACGUAGAUUAGGGAGUGUGCUAUGAGUGUCCUAUGAUUCAUUGAGCCAUAAAGACAUCAAUGGCUUAAGGGAAACUGUUCUGGGCCACUCACACGGAUACACUUAUAUAAUAAUACGCUGCCUUAAGGCUACGCACUCAAAGUAGCGUGCCAACAUGCCUCCACCGUGCCACACCAGAGCACGCCCCAUUGUCGGGAUCACACUACAUGUGUCCUUCCCGGCUCUUAAUCAUACGCCGCAUAACCCGGAGACGGUUAUUCCAUAAGCGCGCCUAUAUAAGGGUGAACUUUCUUCACCCUCAAGGUACACAACACUUUCCACAAAACUUCAUACACUUUCUAUCUUAGUUUCCAUACUGACUUGAUCAUCGAAAUGUUAGCGUGCCUGCAGGCACCCUUCGUUCUACCACAGAAGACACGUCGCCGCCUCACCAGAAACAGUUACCGAUCACCGGAGCACUCUCUACAACCGUUGCGACUCAACCAUUCCUACCAGCCAGAUCAAUUGUACUUAAAACUACUUUACCACACAUACAUAAAAAUAUGUUUUUGAUUCAGUUCUUCCGAAAAAGAAAGGAAAAAAGUAAAAUAUUAAAAAAGAAAAGUAAGAAGAAAAGAAUAAAUAAAAUAAGAGAUGAGAAAGAACUAACCGAACAUUUCUCUAUGAAUGGCAACGUGAAGAAUGGUAGCACCAACGUUAUUGAUAGCAAUAGUGAUAUCAGAUGGGAAAAAAUGAUGUAGGUAAAGAAAGGUCUUUUUAUGGCGUGCAAGCACAGCACAAAAAAGUGGUGUUUCUCCCUUUGCAUUGUUUACUUGAAUCAAAUGCUUCCUUUCACCAUAUUUUCCAAUGAUACAUUGACACAUACUUUUGAAUCCUCUAUAUGCUGCAAGGUGAAGAGGAGUAUCACCUCUUUCAGUCUUUAUUUCAAAACCACUUUGAUCAUCAUGCUUUACUAUUGCAUCUACAAGACGUUUUACACUGUCUUCGUUGGCAUUGCUUACUGCCACAUGUAAUGCUGUUCCUCUUCCCUUUAUUCUUAUCUUGUGAAAAUAUACAUGUUCUUCGUAUUUAUCUAUCACUUCUUUCCAUUUGUCUUCCAUUACAAACUCGCGGAACACGGCAGCUACAUAUUUGUUGUCACAGGUUAAUGGUGUUUUACCCCUGUAAUACAGGUCAUUUUUUUAUUUUUCUCCCUGUAAUUUUUUUUUUUUGAUUUACCCUCUGUAAAAUAUAUAUUUUUUGGAAUACCCCCUAAUAGGUCAUAAAAAAACUAAAAAUUCUGCAAAAAAUAAAAAAAAUAAAGUCGUUUUUUUAUGACCUAUUAGGGGGUAUUCCAAAAAAAAAAAAAAUUUACAGAGGGUAAAUCAAAAAAAAUAUUUUACAGGGAGGAAAAUAAAAAAUGACCUAUAUUACAGGGGGUAAAACACCAUUAACCCCAAAAUAAAAUAGUAAGACAUACAAUAUUUAAUGUCAUAUAAAAAAAUUGGAAGUGAGAAUGAAUAAUGGAGUAAACCAUCAAAUUGGUCCCUAUGUUUGUAAGAUAUUCUCAAAUUAGCACUUAACUUUAUUAAUAUUUCAAAAUAGUUCAUCUCUUUGUCAAAAGUUUCUCAAUUAAGUCUCUCGUCAUGUAACAAAAACAUCAAGACAAUGAUCUAGUUGAGAAACUUUUGACUAUAUUUCAAAAUAGUCUCUGUCCUUGUCAAAAGCUUUUCGAUUAAGUAUCUCGUUAGGUGACAAAAACAUAGAGACAUGGAUCUAAUUGAAAAACUUUUGACAAAAACAAUGACUAUUUUGAAAUAUUGAUAGAGUCAGAGACUAAUUUGAAAUGACUUACAAAGACAGAGACCAAAUUUAAAGUUUGGUCAUGAAUAAUUAGACAUAACAAAUGACACUUUAUUAUUAUAUUUUAUUUUUUGAAGGAAAAAAUGUCAGAAAUAUUGAACUUUCAACUUAAAGAGCCUGAUAAAUAUAAAGAGAGUUUGGACGUACCAUCUUGAAAAUCAUAAGGUACAUCUUCGUCUUCAUCUUGAGGCUGAAUCAUAGAGUUAUGAUUCAUUUCGUAAGUUUGCACUUAGAAUGAAAAUAACAAGAAUAAGUAUCAAUGAGAGAUUGGUAGUGGUGCUGUAAGAAACUGAGCACAUCAAGUGCAAACCUAAUUCCGUUAUAUAAAGAAGGCUUAAAUAUUGCACUCGUCCCUGUAAAUAUGGUCCGUUUAAGUUUUGGUCUUUGUAAAAUAAAAAUUCAGAAAUCAGUCCCCGCAAAAAAAUAUGUCUUUUAAAAAUACCCCUGGGGCCCAUUUAAGUAAUGACAAGUCACCAAAAUGCCUACGUAGCGCACGCUGAUUGAACUCAUUUUGUAAUUUUUGGUCCCUGCAAAAUAUUUUGUUUUUUAAAAAGGUCCCUGCAAAAUUGUGUAUUGCUUUAUUUUUAUUCCUUUCUUCUCUUUCGUUGCAGCUUUAAACUGAGAGAAACAAAAGCAAAUGAUACAUUCUUUCUCACCAUUUUUCUUUUGCAUAUUAUAAGGUUAUCCCGUCCUGUUUCUCAUGCCUUGAUGUACCUUAGCCUUUUUCUUUUCUUUUUCUUUUUCUAAUAGUACAAUCUUUAUUUAUUUUUUUGAAACAGCAUAAUAUUAUUAAGCAAGUCGAGCGCAAGACGCAAUAUUUAUUUGAUCUAUUGGAAGCAAUAUUAAGAUUUAUGGUUGGAAAAUUUUCACAUAUUGUCUAUGUUUGGUUUCACUUUCAGAUCAGCAAAGAGUGAUUUGAAAGAUGUCUAAUUUAGUUUUGAUAUGUUUGGUUUGCCAUGUGCUUGAAAUUUUCUAGAAUCAGCAGCAUUUAUGAGUGUAUUAGGAUCAUCGGUAGUUAGACUAGGAUCACGAUUUGGAGGUAAGGAAAUAUUAUUGCUUUCUUCUUGAAUCUUUGUUAAUUGAUGGUAAAUGGUCCAUAGAUAGUAGAACCUGAGAUUUAACAACUGAAAAUUGUCAUUUAAACAUGUCAGGAAUUGAAUUACAUGAUCUUCAAGACUAAACACAUGAGUUGCACCCACAUCAUCACAUUUACACUGCUGAAAACAUUUACAAGUUGGCAAUGACUUUUGAGAACUAAACUUUUUUUUAAGUCCUCGUAUCUUAGUAAAAGUAAUCAAGAACAGAUUUGGAGCCUUGCUUGAGAUGAUUUAUCUCAGAACAUAGAUUAGCAACACGGAUGCGAUCAAUUUUGAGAAUCUUUCUUUGAGAUCUUGUUGAACAUCAAUAGUGUUUUCAAGGAACGCAAUUUUUUUCACAGUUGGAGAAGAAACAGAAUUGAUAAGCCAAGAAUGAACUAAAUUCAAGUUAUGACGACUAGGAACUGAAAAUGUACUAAUAUGAGAUAGUCGAUACGAUAACAUUUUGAAAAUCGAUAUCACAACAUUAACGUAGCAUUUCUAUUAAAUAUUUUGUUAUUUUAUAUGUAAAACACUGUGAUAUAUUUUCACCGCGCACCGUUGCGGAUUUUAUGUGUUUAUAUCUCUUGAGACAAAUUCUAUGUAGUGAUAUGAGAAAAUCAAUAUGAUAAAAUUUUGAAUUCAUGACUAUUUUCAAAAUAUUAACCUUUAGUGUUUUUAAUAAAUAUUUGUUCAUUUUAUAUGCAAAACACUAUUAAAUAUUUGCACUACACUCGUUGCAGAUUUUGUGUUUAUAUUUGCAUAAGCAAAAUUUUAUGUAUUACUAUGAGAAAAUUUAUUUGAUAAAAUUUUAAAAAUUCAUGACUAUUUUCAAAAUAUCAACAUCAAUGUAGUGUUUCUAUUAAAUAUCUUUUUUGGUUUAUAUGUAAAAUACCAUUAAAUAUUUGUGCCGCACUCAUUCCAGAUUUUACGUGCUUACGUCCAUGGAAGAAAAAAUUUAUAUACCAAAGUUAGAAAAUGGACAUGAUAAAAUUUAAAAAACUAAUUAUUAAAUUCAAAAUAUCGACAUCAAUGUAGUGUUUUUAUUAAAUAUUUUUAUUUUAUAUGUCAAUUAGCUAAAUUAAGAUAUUAAAAGAGAUAAGAAUGAACUAUUUUUCUAAAUAUAAGACAUAGGAGAGGAGAGAAAAACUUAUUUUUUUCUAUAUUUAUGGCACAAGAUAGGAGAAGAAAAAAAAAUUCCUAUAUUCAAGCUACAAAUUUUGCUUAUAGUAGUAGAUAAUCCAUGAAAAUAGUGCAAACUGGUUAAGCAGUUAUAAAAAUGGUUUAAGAUACAUUAAUAGUAAAAGAAGUAAUAAAAAAGUAAUGAGUUUUUUAUUUUUUUUAAGGGAAGUAAUGAGUUAUUUGGAAGUUACAUUAGAAAGGAAUAGAUAGGAUAUAGGAUAGGAUGGGAUAGGAUGGGAAGUUAUAAGAGCGCAUGAUAAAUAUUUUGAAAAUAUCACAUAGGCAUGAUCAUGUUUUAUGAGAACAAUUCUUACUUUACAAUAUAGUUUAGAUAGAUAGAUUAUUAGCAACAUCGGUGAAGGCAACUUGAAACUACCUUGAUACCAUCAGGCCAGAGUCUGAUAUCCCAGCCAUUAGAAACAUCUUCUGAAGGGGCUGCGGCCUUAUGCACCCUGCAUAAAUUUAGAAAUGGUUUCUGUGAGUUGUAUUCUAAAUUCAUUAGAUAUACUUAAUGGUUUCCAGCAUCCUGCAUAAAAUUAUAGUAUGUUUUGUAAAAAUGGUUUUUGUGAGUUAUACUCCAAAACUAUUUCUGAAUUUAUGCAGGGUGCAUAAGGAUUUUCUUAUGCAUCAUAGCCGCACCCCUUCUGAAGUAUCUAUAGCUAACGUUUGACUAAUAACGGUAUUAACAAACCAUUCCAGUUUAUGUUCUCUAAUUCAUUCAACAAGUCAACAACUUUGGCUUCAUUUAUAUCCAAUGGGAUAUUAAUAACCAAAUUUGCAAUGCAUAGACCAGGUUCAAUCCAGAAACUAUGCCAAUCACUAAUACUAUGGCCAUUUCUACAACCCAAAGAGAGCUAGUACGUAGAACGAUAUGCGGCCACAAACUAACCAGAGCCUUCCAAAGACUCAAAUUUGUUGGCUUAGAUAUAUAUAACACUCUCAACACCGAAGCUAAGAUAAUUGCUCUUAAGGCGCCUUAAAUUCACUUCCGAUCAGGUCGUAAAUUUUGUUCAUGUAUGUAAACACAAGUUUAAUUACAACAGAUGAGCUGCUCAGUGAAACAUCAUAGGUGGAGUCUCAAGAGCACUCUUAAGAAAUAAAUGAAUAAUACAUUGUUUUCACUAUCUAGAAUUUGUCCCAUCCCAUCUAAAUGUCCCCCUUUUAUAGCCCUCAAAGUGUUAGCUUAAUGGGCCUUUCUCUAAUCAUUCUAGGCCCAUUAAGUUAUGAUCCAGAGCCUCCUUUCGGUUGUCUGCUUUGAGUACAGCCGCGCGUGGAUUAGGAAGUAACUCAUCCGUACUAGGCGCGUUAAGACGUGAUGAUCAUCCGUACAGGACACGUGGUAUUAAGUUAAGAUGAGAUGAGCUGAUUGGCUUGAUUUGAACUAUCCAUCCAGUGUUGACUGAAGUCGUGCUGAGUUAGCUGGCUUGACUGAAGAUGUGCUGAGCUGGCCGACUUGACUUGAACAAUCAAUCUAGUGUUGCUGAAGACGUGCUGAGCUGGAUGGCUUGACUUGAACAAUCAAAUGGAAAUGGUCUACCCAUGUCGGUCCAACUUUCGAUCGACUAUUUUUGUGUGUAAAAAAUUAUCGGAAUGUAACUCUCAACCGACUAAUUUUCAGCAAGGAGAACAAUUUUGAAGUGCGUUAGGAAAAAUUUCGAAGACCAAAUGUCAGCUCCUAUACUUUGCAGCUCCGUAUCGAUUUCAUUAAACAAGCCUUGAUCAUUUUAUUUGAAGAGGCAAACAAGUAUAAUACUAACAUCAUGAACCCUCUUUUUACUAUUAGUAAUAUCCAAAAUGAAGGAUCUCAAAACGCACUAAAUUUCGUCUAAACAAGCUUUAGAAAUGUUUUAAGCUGGGCCAAGGCCUAAUCCUUGACUGGAUAUGGGUAUCUUUCAUAGCUCAUACGCAGGUGGACCUUAGCAUGGACUCACCCUAAAUAUCACUACAAAAGAUUUGGACUAUCCAGGCCUUAUACAAUGUUGCCUUUCCAUAAUCUCCUUCAGGUAUCCCUCAAGGACGGUUGUCAAGUUAACAACUCGAGGACAAAAAUCCUUAACAUACCCAAUAAAGGGGACAAAACUCCUUAACCUACCCUAUAAAGACUAACUCGUGGCAUUGGUUCGGGUACACUCAAUUUUCACCCUAGAUACAUACCUUUAUCACCCACGACGCUUAUUGACUUGACAGUCAGAGUGGGUUGGAGGUGGAGUAGAUGACUUUUUGUUUAAGAACAAGAUUUAGUGCUUGAUUGUUGUGCUUUGGUGGAUAAUUUUCAGUUGCAGGUUAAUGUAUCUGAUAUGUGGUUUUGGAGGUCAAUUUCACAACAAGAAUUAUGUUGUCAAUGAUGCUUACAAGUUAUUAUCUUAAGGCUUGGAGAACUAGAUCUCAUUGUCAAUUGUCAAAGUUAAGACGAAAAUCGUUCCUUUGAAGAUGUCCUUAUUUACAUAAAGAUUCUUACGUAACAUGAUAUCGAUCGAGAGUAAUUUAUUUAAACAUGAUAUUUUAAAUUGAAAUUCAUGUUUAUGCAUUGAUGAUUGUAGUAGUGUUGAGGAAAAUUUAAACUACAUUUUAUUUGAUUGUGAAUUGUCUCUAAGAAUAUGGUGUCAUUUUGAAUUGGUUGGAUAUUUUUUGUGCUAUCUCAAAUAACAAAUUUUUUAAAUUCUAUCAAUUUUGUGGUUUAUAGGUUCCGAUGUGAAGCCAAAAGAAUGUUUUCAUGCCAUGCGGUUGGCUGCCAUUGCGUUGAUUUGAAAUGCUUGUAAUAAUCGACUUUUUGGUUAUAACGAAAUCAAUGUUGAACUUAUUCUAAUUAAUUGAUCAAAAUUCAAGAGUAUUGGUGGCUCAAAGUGAAAGUAAAGGAUUCACUACCAUAAUUUUGGCUUUUAAUAGCACAAUUUUAAUAGCUUUUAUAGAUAAAUGCUAUUAAAAAUGCAAAUUAUAGACCUGUUAUAGCACUCUUCAGAAAGCGUUAAAAAAAACUUGUAAAAAACUAGGUUAGAUAGCGCUUUCACCUUCCAAAACUCACUCUCUCUCCACCGUCCAAAACUCAGUCUCUCUCCUUCCUUCUCGAAAAUCUUCCACCGUCCUUCGGUCAAAAUCAGUUUCCUUCUCCCAAAACUGAAAACGACUUCCUUCUCCCAAAACUGAAAACCACUUCCCUCGGAAUCCCCCACUCACUCACUCUCUCUAGGUCGGAAAUCCCUCACUCACUCAAGAUAGCGCUUCUUUAAGUAAAACGCUAAGAAACCCCUAUUUGAGUAGAAAGGCUAUGAUAGCGCUUCUCAGAAAGUGCUAAGAAACAGUUGUUAAAAAAGUUACUUUAAUAGCACUAGAAUAAGGCUGUAUUAGCACUUUUCUGAAAGCGCUAUUGACGCAUUGCUAUUUAAUAGCGUUUGGAAAGCACUAUUAUAGGCUCCUGACCUAUUAUAGCGGGGGCUUUCUCAGCGCUAUUAAGAGCUAAAAUGAGUGCUAUUAAAGGGUUAUUUUGUAGUAGUGAUUUGAACAUAACUUCAAUUGUUAAUGGACAAGUUCACUUCAUUGUCUUUGUGGGUUCGUAUAGUUUGAACCAAUGAUCUAAUAAGACAAAUUUUAUGAUAGUCCACACAUAUUUUCUGCCGCUCCUCCAAUCACCCACGUCACUCUACAAAAACAAAAUUCAUAAUUUAAAUAUGAGAUAUCGGAUGAACAAAUAAAAAAUUCAUAUCAUUCUUAUCACACCUUAUAAUGAUACAAAUAGAGUCAAAUCACACUACAUUCACACCACACGGCCAGUACUCCAAACAUAAUAAACACACAAGACACAUUAUUCAAGUACAAACCAAACUCAUAAGUUUCAAUCCACACAGCAAUACAAUUAAAUAAACACUUCUACAACUUAACACCCUUAAUACUUGGUGGUGGCACCUUCUUCCAAAGAACUUUAACAAGAUCAACAUAUAACCGAAACUGAACAAGUGCAUAGAGAGUGACAGGCAAGCAAAUGAGAACAUAUAAAUAGAAUAAGAUACCACCCAUGGUAUAUUUAUCCGAGAGCGUAAGGAAAUGGCCGGUACAGAAAGAAACAAACACGGCGACAAUGGAUACGAAGACAGAAGUUAGGCCAAUAAGAAGCUUAAGUGGCAAGUUUCUAUCAAAAUCUUCGACUUGUUUUCGAUCAAUGAGUAUAGAAAGGAACAAGAUGAGUGCAGUGACAGAAAAGUAAACUCCAAUUAAUGAAGAUAUUGCGAAUCCUUCUAAUGCAGUAUGUUCUUCUGAUGAUGAUUUCCCUGUUUCCUUAUUGCCUCCGGGGACACUGCUUAAUGUUGCGAAGGAGAUGCCGGCAACGAUUGCUGCUACAGCUGAGCAUGAUUGUGUUGUUUCUAUUAACCACUGAGUGCUAUUUUGUAGAAGUUCUUUGCGUUUCUCCUUAAAUAGUUCACUUGGCGUUUUGUUAUUUUUGUUGCUUCUAUGAUUGAAAUGAUCUGGUGCUAGUCCUUUAAUGUACUAUGUACAAUUACCAUUCACAUAGAUAAAACAUAAAAAUGUUAACGCUAGCUAGUUUAAAGAGAUACAUGAAUAGAUAUUAUUUAUUAGAUGGAUAAGUAAAGGUUAAAUGCUGGAUCUGAGACUACUCUAAUUUACCAAAAAUAUAUUGAUAUAAUUGCUGCUCUAUCUAAAAACUCAAUAUAUACUGAGUUUUUCAUUAAUAUUUAACCUUUUUUUUACAUAAUCAAUAUAUAAAUUAAUUAAAUAUUCUUAGUGUAAUCUUAGUCUAUAUUUUUUAAAUGUAUGAUAAGUACAAUUCAUAUUUAUUACAACACGUCUUCUAAGUUUUUCUAUUAACCACUGGGUGCUACUUAAAUAUGUUUUUAACCCCUCUAGAUAUACAAACUUUUAGUUUUAGUCGUUUUAAAAAAAUUCAUUGACAUUUGAUCUAGUAUGGAUGUGUGUAUGUAGGAACGUACGUACCUUAUACCACUUGAUGUCCCACAUCAUUUGCAUGGCCGCACCAGAUACUUUCCAAGAGUUUUCGUUGUUGAUGCUUCGAUAUGCAGCCAAGUGUAAAAUGGUGUUUUCAUCGUUAUCCACUGCUAGACUUAAGCUCUCAAAGGUUUCCAUAGAAAGCCUCUUCCACAACCCCUCAACAACUAGCGGGUGUUUAUACUUCACUGCUAUAAGUAAUGCAUUUUCAUUGUUAGAGUUAGUAUCAU
rnacentral:lncRNA from 1 species